rnacentral:lncRNA from 1 species
CGAAGUACAGAAAAUUCGGCGAGAUCUCGAUGAACUAGGGACGUCAUCCAAAUAGAAAGGUACAAAUCUGAAACUUAAUUUUCAGGUUAUGAAGUUCUUGUUAUAGAUUUAGAUUGGUUUAUUCAACCUAAUUUACCAAAGUUCGAUGGAACUAACUUUAAAACGAUAGAAAAUUAUCAUUCGAUGUUUUUUAGAAUCCCAAGAUUUGUGGGAUGUAGUGGAGGUUGAAUAGAAAUUUUGAAAAAGAAUAUGGUAAAGAAGAAUUUAAAAAAAGAGACAGAGAAGUUCUAUCAUAUAUUUUUCAAGCAGUGGAUCUAUUGUUAGUUGGAAAAAUUUCAACGAUAAAGACGGCACGAGAAGCGUGGAGAAUGUUAUCGAAAAUUGAAGGAGAAGAUUUGCAGGAAGAGAAUGAAAUUCAAAAAGAAGAAGAAAUUCAAUCAAACAACGAAAAUACAAAAGUCUUAAUUUGGAAAGAAAAAUCUGAUCAAAAUCAUGAAGAAAAUCAAAUUUGUAAAGGGUAUCUUGAUGAUCAAAACCGUGCAACUCAAAUCGAUGAGAAAGUUCACAAUGAUAAUAUGAUUUCUAUUGAUGAAGAAAUUAUGUAGCAAAGCAGGGAAAAAAUUUAUCAUUAUUUUGAUGUGAUCGAAGAUGCAAAUUGCAAAUUAGACUUACGAAAGCAGGAAGCACAUGAAAAUUCACACGAGAUCAAUGUAUCGAACAAACAUCCGUGUCGAUCAAACUUUUCUCGGCUACCACAAAAUUACAAAAUUCAUAUCAAUCCAAUUUUUUCAAAAUUACAUGUUUUUCAAGAUAUUUGCAAGUAUCAGCAAUUUGUAAAGAUUGAUGCAUAUGAUAAAAAUUACUGGUGGCCAAGAUUUCGUGCAUGGCAACAUCAUUGGACAUGCGUCAUGCUGCACAACUUGAACACGACGACAACAACAGCAACAGAAAUUGCAAAACCAAAAUGCGCGUUUCAUGGAGUUCGCAACUUGAAGAUGAUGUUUGGAUUAAGGGAAGAUGUUGGAAAUAAUAAUCCAAACUUAAUUAAAAUAUAGUUAUAGAUAUGUUUAAAUCUUUUAUUUGAUUAUGGUUAGGAUUUGUAAUUAUCCAAAGUAAAAAUUAGAUUUAUCAUCUGUUAUGAUUUGAUGGCUAUAUAUAGUUAAGCAUAGCUUAAUUAGAAAAUAAGCCAUAAUAGACAUGGCCGAGGAUGUCGUCCAGAAUAUAAUUAAUUGCUUAUUAUUUUAGUUAUCUUCUUCUUUCUCCAAUAUCUCUUCUCCAUAUUAUUUUGUUCUAUUUUAGAUCUUGGGUUAUAUAAUCAACAUCAGCACAAAUACCGGUUCCAACAAUUGGUAUUAGAAAAAAUCACGCUUCCCAACAUCAAAUAAUUUUUAUAGUGUAAAUCAAAUCUAAUGGAACCGAUCGUCAAUUUGGAGACAGCAAUAUUAAAAAUAACUUGAUAGCACGAAAGCUUUCGUGCUAACGAUGGUAUACGAGCUUAACUCUCACUCUAUAUAUAUUUUCCGGCUCAUGUCACGCCUCCACGUUACCAAGAAUAAAGUAAACAAAGCUUGGUAGUUACCACGGUGACCGUUGGGACGGGCUUAUCAGCGCGGACGAAACGUCGGUUAGCAGUGAAACGUCAACCCGGUCAUCCGUCUCCCAAGGUGAUUCCACAAUUAGUUUAACAUAACAUAGGUAAAUGGUAAUGCUACAACAAUUUUGUAUACCUCGAAACAUGUAUUCGGAUGAUGUUACUAUCCCUUACUAAUUACUUUUUUUUUUUUUUUUUUCAAAUUGUGCAUAUCCUGAUGAAUAGAUUACGCUAUAUUUUCCGUAAUCUUGUCAAAAAUAAAGAAGUAUAUUGCUAUUUACCUUUGCCUCAAUUUUAUUUUGUCUAAUAAUAUUAGGUGACUCUCAAUACGGAAUCGAGGCCCUAAUAAUCAAAUGAGAUCUGCAAUGGACCUUGAAGCCAGCGUAUUCACGAAUAAAAAUGCUUAAUCAUUAUAUUGAAUAAAUGCAAAAUAGUACCAGUUAUAUAACGUUUAAUAAGAUCAUUAGUUAUCAUUAUAUGAUACCGACUGGUUUUUAUUUUAUAGUAAGGUAGUGUGCAUAUAAGAUUUUUUUUUGUCAGGAUAAUUUUUUCUGUUACAGUUAUUUUAAAUAAAGAUAAUAAAUAGUUAAUUAAAAAAAUUUAUGCUGUACGCAAAGAUAAUAAUAAAAAUUUUACCACUUUUAGAUUUUUUUUUGUUAUUUUAGAUGUGACACGAUAAAAUUAAUUAGUUUGUAAAAUAUUUUAUGUGAUGAUUUUUUUUUUUUUUUUUCGUUUAUGGAGAGAAGUGGGAGUUGAGGAAGUUGAUGGAAUGGGUGACGUUCCCAACCACCUAUGACACAUCAAAAAAUUAAAAAAAAAAAAGAAAAGAAAAAAAAGAAAAUACAUUCACCCUGCUAUGUUUGUGGUGUUAUGUACACGUGGGACCCAGCUGCGAGUAACACUCACCGUUCAUUACAGGAGAAGUAUCCUGAUUCCUAUAUGCAACAGUGACACAUCAUAAUUGUGAAGCUCUAGUGACCGUUUAAAUUAUUAAUGAUUUGUUAAAUUACUACGUCUGAGUUUGGUUUAAUAUCUUCACAUGAUGACUAAUUAUACAUCCCCUACAAUUGAAAAAGUUAAACAAUAUAACGUGAUAAUUAGUCAGUCAAACUAGCAAUAUACAUACAUAAGUGAAAGUUUACAUUUUAAUUAAAUACAGAUGACGGUGCAAAACGGAAUUAGCAACUGCUUUAUCAAUUCAAUUAAAAAAGUUAAGCUGAGUUUUAAUUGAGUUAUCUGAUUAAAAUAAAAAAACCAACAACUGUAUUAUAACUGACGUAAGUGAUUCUUGUGAAGCUACGAUAAUCUCACUUACAUUUGUAAGAGUUAAACAACAACAAUCAUUCAAAAUAACUUAGCGCGAUAGCAAAAGUAGGUGGAAAUGUAUAUUUGCGAAAAUCAGCAUCAUAUCUUCUUCAGAAGAACAAAACAUAUACACACGCAAUCGAGACGCCCAUACUACAUUGGAUGCAUGAGAAGAGUAAAGCUUUGAGUAGUGAGCAUCACUAUUCUGCUGCACGAAUCUCAGCAUGCUGAGCUACAACUGUUGAAACUUCGCAUCUUGUGAAAUGUCAUCCGCAAACGAUCAAAUCCCGCUUUAUACAAAGUAAAUACGGCGUGCGUUGUGCUCUACAGGCAUCUUAAAAAGAAAAUUCUAGUAUGUCAGUGCGUACUUCGCCUCAGCGGUGUUUACUGAGUCAACAGGGGACUCCGCAAUCAAGGGUCCAAAGCUAAAAGGAGUGUCAAUGGGCCACAGUAUACUGGGCUGUGAACCUGGCUUAGCCCAUUAAAACAAUACACAUGUGGGUCCAUUACUGGCCCAAACUAAGUAAUGGGUUACUUCUCGGGCCGAGCCACGUCAAAUUCAGGGCCCAAUAUUACUCACUACAUUUCAUACAUGAAGAACACAUGCAUUGACUGAUAGAGAUGUAAAUUCAACAGAGAUGUUUAAAAGAGGCAUCUGAGGUUCAUGUUGAAUUAUCUUUACAUUGUUGACAUGUCCCUUUUGUAAACUGAUCAAAUCAAACACAUGUAUGCGAAUGUACAUGCCCGAAUGACCGAUGCUACGAGGACAAAAUUGGGGAUGACUUGUUUACAGUCGAUCGCUAUUUGAAGCUUCUCGAUGUUUUUUCAAUGAAUAAUUCGGAGAAAAAAAAAGUUCUAUACAUAAACAAUAUGUAUGAUACACAUCCCUGGCAUACUCUACCCUUAAGCUGAUAAGGCUAUCUCACAAUUUAAUUUGCUCCUUUAGUUUGGCCUCCUUUUGCUUUACCUACAAAACGAACAAGUUCAUUUAGAAUAUAUAGAACACGAAGAUCAAGAUAGUAAGUAUGCGUAAAGACAACUUCGCAAAUGAGAAAAGUUGCAAACAUCAUCGCCGAUUAAUGUAACAAUCAAUAUUAUAUCUUGAAAAAUUUGACUAACUAAACAGAAGAAUUGUAGUAGCACGAAAGUUUGUAUUUAAAAGAGAAAUAAAUACACAGUCGAUCGCGACAGAGAAAUCUAGUUAAAAUCAGUAAUAAGAGUAAGGGGUGAACAUCAAGUAGUUGAAUUUCUCUAACAACGCGUAUUAAUAUAUCUUAUCCCAAUUGAUUAAAUUAGUAAUUGUAGUCAGCUUGAUGAGCAAAUAUAUUGCUAUUUUAACAUUGUAGUUCAUGUAGGUAUCAAAAGAGGGCAAAGUAUAAAACUUAAUUGAUUCACAUGUAGACCAAAUUUGGUGUUCUUGAUGUAGUUUCCCAACUCUGUAGACCCUAGACCCAACAGCUAUUUUGAUAGAAGCAAGCAGGAAAAGAAAGAAUUUAGAUGUGUUAUGAUUUGAUUUGCCCAAACAUUAUAUAAUGGCCCAUGAACAUCUAUAAUAAUAAUAAAAUAACAACUAUAAUAAUAACUCCAUGGAAUAAAUGCACUUGCCCUAGUAUUGUAGGAAGCACAUUUAAUCAUUGCAUUUCAAUAACUAAGCUAAAAGCUUUGGUUACAGAGUAUAUAUUCACUGGUAGAUAAAUUUAUUUCACAAAUCAAUUCGUACAUCUUAAUAACUUGACAACUGGGCUUGUGUGUAAUAAUUUGACAACCGGGCAUGGAAGAGCAUCAGGCUUAAAAAGGAGGAGACUAAUUAUUUUAUUUGGCUAUUUUAGGGAAAAGAAAUUUAUUAAUUGGACACCAAAAAAAUAGAGUAAGGCUACUAUGCUAUCGGAAGCACGGAGCCGUCCGUGCUUCCAGCUCGUUUUCGAUGUUGCGACUUUCGAAUCGUCGAUCGGCUCCGUUAAACUUGAUCUAGAGUAUUUGAAGUAUCUAGAAAAUAAAUUAUGCGAUUUUUCGAUAUUAUUUACCUAGUGAACCAAGAGGCUCAAAAUCAACGGCUGAAAAUAAAAAUCUUACAAAACGUGAUAAUAUGACAUUAAAAUUUUAGAUCAAAGGUAUUGAUCUUGUUUUAUAUAGUAUAAAGAAUUUUCUAUCAAAAUUUCAGACGAUUUGGAUAUUUCUACACCGUUAAACUUGCAAACGGCUCACUACGGCCAUUAAAAUUAUUGAUUUUGAGCCCCUUCGAUCCCUAGGCAAAUGAUAUCGAAAAAUCAUAAAAUUUAUUUUCUAGGUACUUCAAAUACUCUAGAUCAAGUUUAACGGAGUCGAUCGACGGUUCAAAAUUCGCAACAUCGAAAACGAGCUGGAAGCACGGAAGGCUCCGUGCUUUCGAUAGCAUAGUAGCCUUACUCAAAAAAAAAUUACACUUAACAAAAAAAAGGACACCAAAAGGUAAAGUAGUGUUCGUUAUAAUCGAUCAAAUCAUCUUAGAAGUUCCGUAGAAAACAAGAAGCAUAAAAUAAAAAUAAAAAAAGGGGUCAUCUAGCUGCAAGUUCAUGGGAAACUGCCAAAUUAUUUAGAGGUAGAUUUUGUGUUUAUGAUUCAUAUGUUUAACUAAAUUUAUUUUACAAAAAAAUAAAUAAAGUGAAUAGCAUGCUAUAUUUUUUUAGAAAAAAAUUGUGUUUGAGCCAUAACCUAGUUACUGUAAAUAAUUAUUUUUUAAAAAAUGAUUUCUUAACAUUUUUUUAUCCCUCCUCUUAACAAGUCUAAAUAUGCUUUUAAUCUAAUUACAAAGCUGCUGCUCUGGUGAUCAAGCAGGCAUGUGCACACAAGAUGUUCGACAAAAAAUCAAGAGUGGGUAGAGGUAGGGAAUCAGACUCACCGCUUCGAUGUCGAUUCUAUACACGAGCAACUUGCGCCGCUCCCUACAGCUAGUUCGAUACGCCACCGCGACGUGAGCCACCGCGAGCGCCAAAGAGCUCAGAAACAACGCUUCGACGGCCAACGCUCCGUCCUUACCCUCAGUCGUAACACGCUUAGCCCCUCCGACGGAGCUCACCCCGAAUGCGCAAACAGCCUUGAUCGAAACAUAUCCGAUCGACGCGGCACUACAUAUUGCCGUGAUCGCUAAAUACGCACCUCGGCCACCACAUAAAGCAUAGGCACCUGCAAUUAGUCAGCAUAGUUAAGUUUCAAAAGAAAAGCCCCUGUUGUAAACAUGACAAAUUUUCCUAUCCGAGUAACAAUGAAACGCUAAUGCAUGGAAACAUACGCCGUACAGCAAAAGUAGGAGUAACCGGAAACUGAAUCAUUUAUUUAUUAAUCUUGCGAAAAUAUUCUUACAGAGAACGAGAAGAGCUCUGGCGGCCGACACGGCGGGCAAGUCGACCAGCGAAGACCGGAAGUCGAAACUCGCGAAGAGCUGAUCAUACAGAGAGGGCGGCGGAGAAGCAGCAGCGUAGACGGGACCGCUCCGGAGAGCGGCGGAGAGAAGCGCCGGGGGGAGAAGCAGGUCGAGCCCGACGACGAGAAGCGGCGGCGCGCACACGAGGAGGAGAGAAGCCAGCAUGGUGAAAACGAAAAAGAUGGUCUUCAGCAAUCGCCACGGCCGCGUCCAAAACGGCUCCUUGUGGGAGCCCAAAAGCAGCUUCUUCUCCAUGGGUUUCUGCGGGCGUGGUGCGCGCGCAAGAGCUCUUCUCCUUCUAAAUGGAUCGAUGAGUGUACGUGUACAAGAGAAAUAGGGAGAGGGACAAACAAGCAGAGGAGGGGGAGCCGCGUGAGUUGCGAGGGAAAAAGAGAAGCAACGUUUGACUCUGAAACCGCCCCCCACUUUAAAUUCCGUGUCGUCGCACGGCAGCUUCGUCUUUCAGAAGCCCCCGAAGCUUCUGCUGCAUUUUUUUUUUUUAAAUUCUUUUUUUUUUUUUUGAUUUUUGUUUGUUUUGAGGUCUUUAUUUAGCGAGCUAAGGAAGGGAACAAAGGUGUUGGGUGUAGAACAUGGAAUACGCGGAGAAUCCAAUUGAAAAGCAGGGAAUGGUACCUUAUAUAUAUGCCCACGUGGAUACCACAUGGUUUGAUAUUCGCUUACACUGGGUACGUAGAUGCCCAUCACCUGCGCCCGUUAACUCGAGUUCAAUUUCUGCUUUCAAGCAUGCGUGCGUAGUUGUGUAGCCGUUGUUAUACUUAACAAAUAUAUUACGCAUCAGUUUAAAAUCAUACAUAAAUUUGCUAAUAUAUUAAUAAUUUAUAUAUCGGUUAAUUUUAUAUUAUAACUUGUUGCAUCAAGUAUUUUGAGAUGGUAGAUUAUCCUAAUUUCACACGCUCUCUCUAUAUAAACACAAAAACCCCAGGUCAAAAAGAUCACACGAUGGGGUUGUAUCAACUGCUGUAAACUCUUUUCAACGGUAAACGGCAAUAGAUUACUUUUUUAAUUAAAUUUUAUAGAUCCCCAGAACGGAGGGAAUUCUCCUGACUAGUCAUAUGCUUUGAGUCUUCUGCGGUUCAAAGCAGUCCAUGUGGACGAUGGGGGGCCUCCAAAUCGGACUUACCUUUAUGUUCAAUUGGACGAGAAAUUAUUGUGCGGCUGCUGCAGUUGAAUCGCAGUUGAAUCGCAUCAUCCGUUGGAUUAAAAUUCAGCGUUCAUACUGAUAGUUUCUAGCGCAAAAGAUAACAAAAAUCUAAAAAAUACAAAGCAUGUCGUUUAAAAAAAGAAAUCAACGUAUCGUCUUUCGUAAUGGUUUUCUUGUAUUUUUUUUUUCAUGUCUUUUUUAUGUGCCAAAUACUUGUUUCAAUCAUUGGAGAAAGAACUCGUUUUGCAGCGUGAAUGAAUUUUCAUGAGGUUAAUAUUUUUCUGUGUUGGGAUCUCAAGGAAAAUUUUCGGAAAAAUCCCGUAUUUUGAUUGUCGAUUGCAAACAUUGAUCUUGCAGCUGUGCUAUUUUAGCAUUAGAAAAAAAAGGGUUGAUGUGGCAAUCGAAUUUGAAACAUUGAUCUGGGACUAUUAUUCAUUCCUCAUGCAAUAUGUAAUUAAGAAGGAAAAUUGAUUAGAAAUUGACAACCCGUUAUUCUAGAUAACACCCCACCCAACCUACAUAUCUCGAAUUAUAGUUUUAAGAAGGAUAGAUUUUUAUUUCUAUUCACUAUCUAAGUAAUCUCUAUUAUAGAAAAAAAAAAUUAAGCCGUGCUAACACGUAACACAUAACACAAUUUUCCUGAACAAGGGCGAAAUUGUGACAUGUAACAUGGCUACAAAUCCGGUAUGUGAGAGAGGAGGUGAAGUAGGCAUAAAUAAUAUUUUAGCCAUAAACUUCGAUGCCAAGGGAAUAAGCUAGAUGAGAACAAAUAUGUAUGACCAUCUUAUAAUAUACAAGUCAUCUUUGACUAUAAUAAACUUUAUAGUAUUAUUCAUUGAGCCUUAUUCUCGAAGAAAACUCUUAUCCUUUUGAAAAUUCUUAAUUACGAGAAUCUUAGCAUAUGAAACUCUUCAUUAUGUGGGAUUACAGUAUCAUCCCAUUUGGAGCUCCGGAUAAUGCUAUUCUCAUAUAGUGUGUGUAGAUCGACAUGUGGCGGAGAAGUAAUCAAACAUAUCACAGGGAAUUUAUGCAAGGUCUUCGUGUUCAAGUUUAGUUUGCCACAGUUGCCACAUGGAUUUUAUGUAUCUUAUGUGGCUUAAGAACCUCUAGAGAGGUAGGUAGGUAGUUAGUAAUGCUAAAUUAAGGGGUAGAAAAUCAAUCUUAUUCUACAUGCCACCCAAGCACAUGUCAUUAAGAGAGCCUCUGAUCAUGACUAAGCAGAAAUUGAGUAUCUGACAAGCUAAAAUUUACAGCUCAGAGGCUUUGGUAGGUACACAGACUAAAUCCGAGACAUUUCCUAUCAGACCCGUGGUUACAAGCUUAAUACCAUCAUUUAUUUUGGAAUUUUCACUGAUUAGACCUAUUAAUUAUGUAUCACUCAGUUGAUAACAAACGCUGGGGUCGUCUUAAUUGUUUGUAUUAUUUUCAACUGAAAUUCUCAACCAUAUCCAGUCAUAGACAAUACAUAACAGUAGAACGUAACUUGUAUAUUACACUUACACCCUAGUUAAAUAUAGGACGAGAAAGAACCCAUCGAUUUUUAAUGCGUCACAUGCUUCUUUGACGAUCACAAUGAUAUCAUGCGUGACACAAAAUGAGAAAUUUUGGCUCGUGCAAUCGCCAUUUGGAAAAAAUUCGAAAGUAGAAACGACCCCGCUGUUGAUGCAUCAGAUCAGAGAAUUUAUGAGCUCCAUGUAUGAUGUAUCACCAUUGAUAAUUUUACAACAUCGUUGUAAAACUUAUUUAUAAGACGAGCAUUACUCCUCAACCAGAAGCCCAAUGUUGUAGAAAUUUGAUUAUGUCCAUUUCACCCAACGUUUCUCUUUUCAACUACCCCCCCCCCCAAAUGAAAUUCAGUUUCCAUCCAGAUUCUGUGUUCCCAACUUAUGUUUGACCUGCAGAAACUUGUACAAAAACAACAACAACAACAACCCAGGAAAACAAUACAAAGUCCCAUCAGAGAAUGAAACAAUACGCCACCCAUGUUCAUAUUGGGGUAUUCAAACACAUAUUCAAGAAGAAUUUUGAGUCAACAUAGCAAAUUUAUCCCUCUACACUUAUAUUAACAUAUACGCCCCUUUAGGCAUCAAUUGACAGUUAUUUACCUCAUAACUGUUGUAUCUUUGGUACUAUUUCCCACCAAAAUAAAAUUUAUCAUCUAAAUAGAUAAUAGCCACUCUGAAACCUUAAUUAAAACCAAUUAUAGCUCUUCAUGUUAAGAAUUUAUAAAAUUUCGAGUACAGGGGGAUAAAUAUGGUUCUUGAGGAAGCACUUAACGGCGUUUGGGGAUUUACCAAAUGAUCAAUAGUAAAGGAGCUUUUGGGAAAAGCUUGUUGGUUCAGUUCCUAUUGCCAACUGCAUAAGCUAUCUUUAUUGGCCUGCCAUGCAGCGCAACCUGGUCUUUCUUCAUAGCUCUCUCCAGUGACUCAUCAUCCUCGAAAUCUACAUGACAGAAGCCCCUGAAAUUACCCGUCUUCUUAUCAAAGGCAAAUCUUAUAGAAGCAAUCUUAGAUUCUUCAAAGAAGCCCCUUAUAUCGUCUUCUGUCACAUCCCAUGAGAGAUUCCCGACAUAUGCCGAGCAGCAGCCGUCGACCUUCUCGGGUUCGCUAAUGAACUCUCUCCUCCUUUUCCUCGUGGAAUCGAGUCUGCAACGCUCGACCCUUAUGAAUCUGUUACCCCUGAAGCCCAAUGAACAUAGGUCAGCAUAGAAAGUUUCGACAAGUUAGGUGGAAACAGGAAAAAAUCUGCAGAAAAAUCCUCACAUUUUGAAUCCAUCAAGCUUAAGAGAACUCGUUGCAUCAUCCUCAGUCUGGCAUGAGAAGACAAAGUCAAUCGUUGAAGAGUGUUCGGAGUAGAUAAUGACAAUGGAAGAAAAUGCAGGAAGUUUUGGACCCACAGUCGGGAAUUGCUUGGUACAACCUCUACAUUCUUCUAUUCAAGGUAAAAUAUGCAAAGCAUAUGACCAGCGGAAAAAAAUUGCAGGUUUAUUUGGAGACCAGCGCAGUAAGCGCCCGAUUUUGGCUCUACAAAAGUAACAAUAAGCUUCUUCCUUCUGAGAUGUAAUUUGUCCCCUAUAAAACAACUAAGCAGGAAUCCCAUGAACAUACGUCCAGGAACCAUUUUAGUUGUGUCAUCUAAAAGUUAAGUCCACUAUUACACUAAUGACGAACUAAUUAUGAUACUAGAGUACUAGACAUCAGUUUUUUUUAGGACGUGUUUGGUCUCGGACAUAUUUUGCAAUGAUAUCCUUUAUACUUGGCUUAUAUCCUAGGGUACCAGAGAACCAAGUGUUUAUGUUUCGUUUCAAGAGAAUAGGAACAACAAAUUUUCAAGUUAACUUUCAAAGCAUAGUAAAAGAGGUAACCGGAGCAAAGAAAUAUAGGUAGCACAAGUUCAACUGCUAGGUAAAAUAGUUAAUCGGCCGAAAUUAGGCGAUGAUUUGAAUUACCCCUUCCCUUUCGGAGCCCCAUUUCAGGUGAGCUAAGCAAUUAGAGCAACAGUGGUAAUCAGCACCUUCAUGUAAUUUCUUUUUCUCUAAACGGUAGUUUCUAGGGUUUUCGAACUCAUAAUAGAGAAAGAGACGAGGAGAGGGAUUAGACCUGGAAUGUGAGGAAGGCGAGGCCGCUGAAGUUUCCCGAGUCGGGGAAGCGGGAGAGGUGGAGAUGGCGAACGGCGCCGACGCCGUCGAAGAGCUCUCGAAUCUGCUGCUCGGUGGCGGAGUAGGGCAUUCCGCUCACCACCACCUUAUUGCGCUCGUACGUAUCCUCAUCACCACCACCACCACCACUACCACCACCACCCACACCUGCUUCUUCUUCUUCUUCUUCUUCUUCUUCUUCUUCUUGUUGCUGCGGCUCAUCCCAGGAGUCGAGAACCGGUUGGCCCCAUUUAUCCUUUUUCGCCUUCUUCUUCUUCUUCUUCUUCUCCUCCUCCUUGCUCGGUUCCUUCAACAACAUCUUCUUCUUCUUCUUCCUGGAUUGGAGUUUGCUCGCGUCUUCUUCAGUGGCCAUCUCGGCGGGGGUUCCGCCGCACGGUGGAGACGUAGAGAGAGUUAGGGCAACUCGACCGGGGCGCAAGAGCGAUGCGGUCGGGUUAAGCCCUGAUUAAGAUGGGCCUCUUAGCCCAUUAGGCCCGCCUGUGUUUACACACUUUGGUUAAUUGUGCCGAUUAUGGGCCUGCGGGCCCGAACUGAAUAUUCAGCCAACAACUGUGUUCGUCAAUAUAUAUAAAUAUUUACUCUGCUUUUCGUCAAAUCUUAUAAUUUUCAUUUAACUAUAAAAAAAAAAUUACUGCAGGAGCAUUUUCUCCGGGUAGAAAACGGUUGGACAAAAGGCGCAUGAGCGGCGGGAAAACGGUGGCCCCGUGCGCGUGCGUAUGGAAUGCAUCGUCGCCCACCGCAAAACAACAACCCCAGGUUUGGGGGGUUUUGGGAGAGGUGGCCUGGCGGGCGGGCUAAAACAAGAAGCCUCCAGAUUUCCGCCCGUGUCGGGGGGCGAGAAAGGCUGCCUUUCGACGACAGCGAUGCUCCCCCUCUCCCCCUCUCCCCCUCUCCCCUAUUCUUAGACGAUUACUGUAAUGUAUACAUAUAUAGCCGGCAAUUAAAAAAUUGGAGAGAAGGAUAGAUAGAAAGAGGGGGGGGGGUGGAAUGCGGUAAUCUUUCUUCCUCUUUCUCUAUUUGGAUUCCCCUCUUUCUGCAUCGCUCAAGAUGGCUGAAGCCACCGCAGGUAAUGUGGGAGGGGUUUUUUUUUUUUUUUUUUUUUUUUUUUUUUUUUUUGUUUCGUCUGGUAACUUAAGCUUUUAAAUUAGUUCGAGCCCUCUAAUAUGAUAUUGGAGUUUGGUUCACAGAACUUCACACUUUCAUUGCGAUCUAAUUUCUUUUGAUACGUUCCUGCUUUAAAGGGUGUGUUUGUUUGGGUGGAAAUGGAGAGGAGGGAAGUCGUUUACGCCGUAAGCUAUCACUUUCGUUAUUUGAUUCGCCGUAAAAUAGUUACGGCCGAAACUUGAGUUAACCCGAAAUGACGUAAUUGACUUCGGCCUAUCGUGGGCCAAAGUCAAUUAUGGUGAAAGAAAAAAAAAUAAAAUAAAAUAAUACACUAGAUAAAGAUAAUUAUAUUUAAUUAUAGUAUUAAUUAUUUUUUUAUUCGGUUGAUAACUUGACAUAUCUAAACUAUGAUAAAAAUUGAUUAAUCAAGUAUUAAUUUUUUUUUACUUCAUAGUUUUAUUGUUGUAUUAUUAUAAUUUACGUAUAAAAAAAAUAAUUUAGUUGUUUUAAAUUAAAUUUUAAUUAUAUUAAAUAUAAUUAUAUUAUUUUAUUUAUUAAAUUAUUUAUUAUUUAUAUAUAAAUUAUAAUUUUACAUCAUAUAUUUCUUACCAAACAAACAGUAGAACUAAUGAAACUCUACUUUCAUAACUACGAAACAAACAGCGGAAAAGAAAUAGUUUUCACCGAACUCCACCUCAACCCAAAGUCAAGUUUCCGUGAAACAAACAUACCGUAGGCUGUUUGUUAAUUUUUAUUCAACUCAAUUUCCAUGACCGGUCUUUUAGUCACCAUAUUAGGUUCAUGCCACAUUAUAGUAGGGUGCGUGUUACAAAUUAAUUUUUUUUUCUUAUUUAAUUUAAGUUCAGUUCACAUUCUAGGCCUAUCAAAAAUUUUAAAGCCUGAGUAUGAGGAAAAAAAAAUUGAAUAUGAAAUAUUAAAACACCGUUGUCUAACAACUUAAUAUCUUACAUACAAAUAGUUGUUUCCUAAAUAGUGACCACGUACAUCUUACAAAGUUAACACUCUGCUUUCAAAUUCUGAUUCUAUCAAUGAAAAUGAUGCCGUCCUCUCCUAGUGUUGCAUAACAAGGCCCUGCUGCGGCUGUAUUGGAAUGAUUGAUUUAAGAAUUAUUAGACGAAUUGAUUUCUCAAGUUGUUUGAAUCUAUUGAGCUGAUAACAAGGGUUUUCUGGUUAAGUUUUACUUUGUUAGAAUCAUUAUUGUAGUUUGAGCUCUGCAUCCUAAGAAGCUGGUUGGUUCAUGGGAAAAGUAUUAGAAAAAAAAUUUUGAAAAAAAAAAAAGUUUUUCAUGAAAAAUAUCUUUUUUAGUUUUUUGCCUGUUUGGUUGCGAAAAAAAAAACUAGCUCUUCUGGAAAACUUUUUUCGGAGAAAUAUGUUCAAGCUUUAAUCUGCUUUCGUAUUAUAUAGGUCCCUUGAAUUCUCAUAGUAACGAUGCAGCAACAGAGGUUUCUGAAGAGAAAAUAUCACUUGUUGUGUGUUUUGGUGAGAUAUUGAUCGACUUCGUCCCCACCGUAGCUGGAGUUUCUCUUGCAGAAGCACCUGCAUUCAAGAAAGCUCCAGGAGGUGCUCCUGCGAAUGUUGCCGUUGGUAUAUCUAGACUUGGCGGUUCAUCAGCUUUCAUUGGCAAGGUUACUAAAUAAGCUUUUCAUUAUUUUUUUUAAGAAAUCAAGUUCAUAUACUUGCAGUUUUCAUAUGUAUGUCUGUAGCGCAUGAAUUCAUAACUUUGAUCCUGCUGAAGUUAAGUAUUUCUUUUGUUGCUGGGCAGCAUUUAGAAACCUCUAUUGUCUAUAUGCUCUUCUAUAUUUUUCUUAAGGAUUAGCAGCUCUAACAUGCCCAAGUAAAGAAAUGAGAUUUUUGUGGUUUCAACAUUAAUAUAAUAACAACUAGAGCAUAGUUAACUAGACAUUCAUAAAUAUGCUGCUGAAAUAUUGUGAUUGUAUCAAAAUAUAGCUGUUCCAUUUGUAUUAUUCUAAUUUUCAGCUAGUAGAUGAUUCAGAGACUACAAUAACUGUUCCAAUUUUCUGUCAGUUAUGCGAACACAGAAAUGCUACUUUAAUGAAAUUCAUAUAAAAGACUGACGAAUGAAAUAUCUCCACUUUAUGCAUGCUUGAAGUUGUAUACAACAAAGGCUUUACCCUUAUUUGACAGCUAUAAUGUAAAGAUUAAAUUGCAUAAUUGUGCGUAAGUCCUUAUUGGUUUUCUAGUAUCAGGUAGAACAAAAUUUUACUGAAAACUUUGCAGGUAGGAAAGGACGAAUUCGGCUAUAUGCUGGCUGACAUCCUUAAAAAAAACAAAGUCAACAAUUCUGGCAUCCGGUUUGAUCCUGGUGCACGCACUGCACUGGCGUUUGUCACCCUACGAGCUGAUGGAGAGAGAGAAUUUAUGUUUUACCGCAACCCAAGCGCUGACAUGCUACUUAAGGAAUCAGAACUUGAUAUUGACCUCAUCAAAAAGGUAAACAAAAAUAGAGAAAAAUUCUGUGGGCUAGGCCACAUUGUAACAUGAUUCCUGAUAUUUCUGUUUUUGUUGCAGGCAUCUAUAUUUCAUUAUGGCUCAAUCAGCUUAAUCGAGGAACCUUGCAGAUCAACACAUCUGGCGGCGCUAAAAAUAGCCAAAGAAUCAGGAUGCAUUCUAUCUUAUGAUCCUAACCUCAGAUUGCCGUUGUGGCCAUCUAGCGAGGCGGCAAGGCAGGGCAUCAUGAGUAUAUGGGAUCAGGCAGAUGUUAUUAAGGUACAAUUUUCCUUCUAAUCUUUCUCUGCAAGUGGCAUUUACAUUAACAUUAUUGUUGUUCAGUUCAAACUCAAGUUUGGUGAAAGUAAAAAAAAAAAAAGAAAGAAAGAAAGAUCUUGGAAACAACUAGCAUAAUGCUGGGAGAUUCACUGUCUAGUCUUAUGCUAGAUUUUGGGUCUUUCUAUGAAAGAUAACUUCGGACCAUUUCAAAGAAACUUUGGUUUCGUAAAUUUAAGCACAUAAACUACCUUCCAGAUCUUCUCUAUGUCUUCAUAAUAGAUGACUAGACUCUUAACAAAUUUGAUUUACGGCCAAAUUCACAAAUUCGUUAAUUAAACUCCCCCUUAACUUCCGACAUCUUCAUAUUGAAUACAGUGCAAUUGUAUCAUUGUAACAUGGUCGCUGUUGGUAUGUUAGGUAAGUGAGGAUGAGAUUUCAUUUUUGACUGAAGGUGAUGAUCCCUAUGAUGACAAUGUUAUACAGAAGAAGCUUUUCCACGCCAACCUUAAGCUUCUUCUAGUUACAGAAGGGCAAGAUGGGUGCAGAUAUUACACUAAGGUAAUCCGUCUUCUCCACUUAGACCUCUUUUUCUUUAAUCGUAAAGAACGAGCUUGCAGAUUCCAAAGUAAUUUCCUCGUGCUCUAACAAGAAUAAUUUACUGGAAUUCUUUUCUCCGUUUUCAGGUAAAAUGUGUAAUUCCCUGUUUAUUCGCAUUUUGUUUAACACAUUCGAUCUAUUUGCAGAAAUUCAGUGGCCGAGUUAAAGGAAUUAAAGUCAAAGCAGUUGACACUACUGGUGCUGGUGAUGCAUUUGUCAGUGGGAUCCUCAGCAAUUUAGCUUCUGAUCUCGAACUUUAUAAGGUGAGAUAUCUCUGCGCCCGGCUUAAUGGUUGGGCUUGUUUACUUCUCGAGCUCUCUGAUAAUUUGUAAUGCUUGUAAUAACAAAAUUUUUAGUAGGCUCAGCUGUAAUUGCAAGUGCUAGCUAUCAGAAAAGAGUUGGUUUUAUAACAGAAGGAAACUACUAAUCACGACCGAAAAGUUGAGCCCCUUGGAAGAUCACAUUAAUGAUUCAUGUCUAGACAACCUGCAUAAUAAAAUAAGAGGGAGAGUUGACUCCAAAUUCAUUUCUAAACUGUUGUUCAUAUGUUUAUAGAAGCUACUAGAACAUUGAAGAUUCUGAGUCCUGCAGCUCGAGUCUCACUUCGAUCUUGUGUGUGCAGGAUGAGAAGAAGCUAAAGGAGGCUCUAUUAUUUGCGAAUGCCUGCGGUGCUAUUACAGUCACCGAGCGCGGAGCGAUCCCUGCUCUCCCGACCAAAGAUGCAGUCCUUGAUCUCCUGCCUAAAGCUUCUGAACAGCCCCAAUGCUUCUGCGCUAUCAGCUAAGCUAAUCGACGACAUUCUCAUCAGGAGGCGAAAUUCGCUAGUCCUUUCUAUUGUAUCUGUCGCUCGUUCACUUGUUUCAUAUUAAGGCAGACAACAGAAAGUAGCCAGCAGAGCUUCGAUAAAUGCAAAGAUGGAGUUAUAUGGCUUUAGUUGGGUGCGGUGCUUUGAAGUACGGAUCACAUCUUUUGCGAUCAAUGAAUGUUCCAAGUGUUUGUGUAUCUCAUUUGUUGUAACCCUUUGUUUAUCCGCGUCUGAUUUAUACCAUUAUAAAUUGAACUCACUUAUUGUUGGUAUUAGUUAACAUAUUUAACGAUGACGAUUUGUAGUUAUCCGAGUAUAGCAACUAUUUAUGGAGGAUAAAUUUUCUAAAUUCCGACAACUUUACUCUUUUCUUAUUUUUUUCCGUUCUUUCACUUUCCUAUCAUGUGUAGGCACAAACAGAGUGCGGCCUUCACAUGGCAACAGGAGAGAGAUAAAAUGGCUUUAAAAAGAGUCGACUUUAAGCGAAUUCUCGCGCGCACACGCUCAAAUAGCAAAGAUGCACAAGCACGGAAAAGGGUAACUCACAUGUAAAGUUUACAUGAAAAUGGUGAAAAAAUAUUUGAGCUAUAGCAACAGGGCACUAAAUAAGCCAAGUAAAAGGCGAGUACUGCUCAGUUUAUAGCAAACAUACUCUAGUGCAAAAUGGAAUUUCGUUGGAAUCACAGCUUGUUCCCCCCCUUAAACUUUUAGAAUUCUGUGUGUUUCCAUUACAAAUUUUUAUUUUAGGUGCAUUUAUCUUGAGAUGCUCAUGUCAUUGCAGAGCUUGCCCCAUUUGAUUUUGUAAUGAUUUGGAACUACAGCUUUCGCAUGUUACAUCCAAAACUUAAUAAAUUUUGCAGAGAUAUUAGAACCCAGGACCUCGCAAAACGGCAGGAAUUUAUGAUCGGCUCUCAUACCACGCUAAUGGGAAGAUCCAUCACAAUAGAAACAGCUCAGAGAUAUACAUCUAACAUGCUCUUCUGUGGAAUUUAAAAGGGUUUCCGUAGCAAAUGUCAUUACGGUGUUGUGACUUGUGAGUAUGUGACACGUGAUGAAAAUUUGCAUCGCACAACGUUGAAAAUGUCCCAAUUGGAGUGGGUCUGAUAGGAGGAAAGGAAGGGAAUUCUCUUGCAUGACAAUUCUCUUUUAAGAGGUGAAGAAUCUCUAGAUUUUCACCAUAUAAGAUGAGUCAAAGUGUACCAGAUGUUAUGCGUCCAUUCCACAUUACUCAGGAAAGACAAUGGAGUACGUUUUCACUUUGGAAAAGUGUUAGGGUUAAACUAUGAAUGAAUAUUUAUUAUUAAGCGAUGCAACGCACGAAAAACCACCCCAAAUCCGCGGACCCAAAUGGGUGGUGAACCUAUUACGGUCUCUUGACUUUGGUGUAAAUAGCACUAUUUGGAAUUUGUGUAGUCACACACUUCAUUCACACUUCCUACGUGUAACUCCACUUGCGCCAUAAAUAUAGGGAACGUAUGUCACGUUGAAACGCUUUUAUUAUUUUGUUCCACAAUGGAUGUGGAUUCACCAUUAUUUUUCAAUCAUCCUAGUGGCCUUUUCCCAUUUUCAUUGGCUUUGCGUGGGGUCCUUGUUGCACUUAGCACUUGGCAUCUUCUUUCAAGUUUAACUGAAAAAUUCUAAGCCAAUAAUACUGCGCCAACUAUUAAGUGAUUAACAAAAUAAGAUGCGUCGUACAUGAAUGAAUACACACUACACAGGGCCUAUAGAGAUAGAAGAAAUAAAGCAACCCGUGUGGGAGUGAGAAACCCAUAAAUAUAUAUAUAUAUAUAUAUAUAUAGUUUUCGCUUUCUUUCACAUCCAUUUCCCAAAUUGGACCCAACCCUUGAGCUACAAAGUAGCUAUCUUAGCUAGAACACCUACCAUGUCAUCAUCAUCUAUUCCGGGAAUAGUUACCCGUUAUUCCCGCAUAAGUUCCCUCUUAUGCUGACGCAAUCCACCAUUCAUCCACCCAUCAUGGAGAGAAUUAAUAAGAUCAUGCAAACCCCCCAAGCCCAGCUUUAUUCCAGCUCAUCAAAACUAGAAUUAGACUAAGGCCACUUACGUGCCAUGGUAUCUUAAAACCCAAGUCACCUACGCGCGGCCUCUUAGCCUAACUAGCUUCAACCACGCAACAAAUUAAUCGUCUCAGAAGAAUAAUGAAAUUAUUAACUACUAGUUAUUUUAUUAUGUAUUAUUAUCGAUCAUCAUUAAUUAGUGUGAGGUAUUUAUAGUUUUUGAACUAUUAGCAAUCGCAAGAUCAGCAAAACAGCGAGCAUAAGAAAAUAUAAGAAGAAAAAAAAAAAAGAAAUAUUUUUUUUAAAAAAAAAAAACAGGGUGGGCGAUAAGAUAACGAGGAGAAAAGGGAGGAGGUUGGCGACAGCUACAGCGAAAGCCACAUACUAACGCCACGCGGAGGCGAAGGUGAGGACCCGGCCCAUCCAGCUGAAGCCGAGCCACCCGCGUCCUCCUUGACCGCGAAACCUCGGGUUGGGUCCGGUCGACCGCGAGCGGGCUCGGACCGGGCUCCGCCACGCCUCGUCCGAGCGGCCAGGCCGGAACCCGGCCAUGCUCAUCCGCGCCCGCCACUUCCCGAAGAGCUCGCAGCGCUCGACCCGCUCCGGCCCCUCCCGGGCCACCGUGUUGGUCGCUUUCCGGCUCAGCGCGGCCUCGACCCGGGCCCGGUCCGCGCUGUCCCGGCCCAGCGUGGCCUCGAGGGACUCGAGCAGCGCCCCGUAGUGCGCGCACGCCUCGGCGAAGCGCGCGGCGAAGGGCGCCGUGUUCCCGCUCAUCUCCUGCUCCACGAGCGCCACGGCGCGCGGCGCCAGGGCGCGGACGCGGCGGAGGAGCUCGUCGCGCGGGUUGGCGGGGGACACGCUCUCGUCGGCGAUCCGGGAGAGGACGAAGGCCAGGUUGACGGCCAGGGCCUCGUCGGGCUCGCAGCCGAGCGAGGCCCGGUCCAGCUCCGCCGCGCGCAGGCUCACGAUGCUGAAGCGGAGCCCCACCCCGGCGCGGUCGGCCAGCUUGGAGAGGCGGUCGCCGACGUCCCGGAGGCCCUUGGCGGCGGCGGCGGGGAGGGGGUAGGCGGGGUCGGCGACGGCGGUGAUCUUCAGGGAGGCGGGGCGGGGGCGCCGCUCGGCGAGGGCGCGGAUCAGCUCGGCGUGCUGCGCGCCGCUGCCGACGUCGAAGUCGACGACGUGGAGCUUCGGGUGGCCGCGGGCGGCCUCGAGGAUGGCGAGGUUGGCGACCGCGAGGCCGAGCUUGAAGCAGGGGGAGGCGUCGUGGAGCAGCUGCGUCGCGAAGCGGUGCUCCGCCGAGAGGAGCUGCCGCGAGGGGUUGGAGGGGGGAGGCGUGGAGCACGAAGCGGUGGAGGAGGCCGUGGAGUUGGAGGAGGAGGAGUUGGAGGGGGAGGGGGAGGGGGAAAGGGGGUUGCUCUGAUUCGCCAUCGUCGGCGGCGGCGGCGGCAACGACGGCGAAGGGGCGGCCGAGAUCGAGAUGAGCUGCCGCAUCGUUUCGCCCCACUCUGGUUCCGCAUCGCGGACUCGGUCGCCGCCUUAGGGUUACGAUCGGACUCCAACGCGGCCGGAUGCCAACCCCUCUGCGGACCGCCCUGAACUAGGCAUCCGGAAGAAAUCGAGGAGGGGGAGGUGAGACUCCCGAGGUCGGACGAGAGCGGCGAAGCCAUGUGGAUCUUCUGCUUCACGGAGCGCAGGAAGAGCGCCUGCUGCAGCGCCAUCUGCUGCUGCCGCCGCUCCAUCUCCGACAGCGUCCGCUUCAAAACCCCUGCCCCUCCCCCUCCCCCUCCGCCGUCCGAUCGGCCCUGGAACGGGAUUUGAACGGCCGAUCCGCCCCCGAACCCCGCGUAGCUUCCGCGAGAAUCGCGUCCCGGGAAUCCCGACGCCAUACAGAGAGAAAAAGAGAGAAAGGGGCUUCGAAUUCGAAACGCAAGCUAGACUGCUGGAGGCGGAAUCUAAGAAGAAGAAGGAGAAGGAGAGAGGUCGCAGCAGCAGCAGCAGCAGCAGGGGGAGGAUGCAGUGGUCAUGGCUCGCGGCGGCUUUUGCUCAACCGCCCUUUCCAACCAUCCGCCGAAUCUCCUCCAAUGGAAAAGCCCCCCCACCUUUUAUACCAACUUUUUUUCCUUCUCCUUUUCUUUCAACCUAUAUUUUUAUUAUUCUUUUCCGCCGGGCGUUGUUGGCGUUGCUCGCUUGCCUGCCUUAUUAUUAUUAUUUUAUAUUUAUAUAUCUCAUCAUUAAUUCAUUAUUGUAUUUAAAACACGAAGAAGGCAGGCAAAUGUUUUUUGAAGAAGCGACUGGGAGAACGGGAGUAUGCGGGUGACGCGCACGACACACCGUCGGUGGGCGCACGCCAGCAGCGUUCCAACCGCGAUUUCAGAAUUGAAUCCAGGACGCCCCCUUCCCCCCAACCCACUGCGUGAAAACACGUCUAGCCCAGGUGUUCCCGCCUAAAUCUUUUGUGCGGACAGCUAUCCCUACCCCGCUUUCCCCACCGAAUACCCGAUCGGCUGCGACCUGACCAACUACGGCGGACGGCGUUUUGGGGAAGCGGGGGGGGGGGGGGGCGGUGGGGUGGGGUGAUUUUUUGAAAGUUGGUUAGCGAAAGCCGAAUAAUCUUCUAACCCUCACGCCACUUUCGUUGUUUUGCAGUAUUAAACUGGUAAAAGGGUUAAAGAAUUGAACGAGAAAGAUUACGAGGCGGCGACACGUGUGCAGUAAAAGAAACCGAAUGUGCACUCGCCCGCGCCGGGCCCACCCCUGCCUCCUUUGCCUGAUGAUUGCUUUCGCAGCACCAAUACCGUUGCGAUAACACAAUUAACGUCCACAUACGUCGGGCGAAAGACUGAACCGUGCCAUUUGGUCCAAUCGGGUACCGGUAGAUUCCGAAUCCAAAUGGAAUCCUUAUUAGUGCGCGAUGAAUCGCGCCAAACUAUUUCAACGAGAUUCCGUUAAAAAGCUCCUCAGCAGAGACCCACGUUCUCAAGCAUGUUAGAACAUUGUAGUCAUGGCUAAUUAAAUCCCUACUCGGCCAUUAUUUCAUUCAGAUUUUAUAUAGAUAUUUUAUUUAUUUUGUAGAUAAAACGUAUGAUUAAAUAUUUAGUGAAAGUAAAUAUCCACACUUAGUUUAUUUUGCAAAACAACAAAUAAUCAAUUGUAGUGGAUCAUCCGGGCCCUCACACUCGGGUAUCUAUCGGCACGCCUUAUGUCUCUGUUCUUUUUUUUUUUAAGCCUUUUUUUUUUUUUUUUUUCUUCAGUUGUUUAAAUACUACAUGGGAGCUCUUACAAAAUCUAGCCCCAUCGAGCGGUCGGACUCAUAUGAUCGAUCGUUGGCUCAUCAAUUCGGUUACAUGUUGACAGGCUUGAUGGCGAUAAAUGGUAAAUAACAGUUGCCGAUUCAUGUUUUCAUUUAACUGGGGCGCGGGUUCGUGGAUCAUCGUCCAUAUUGCGUGUUACUGCUAUACGAUAAAUUUGUUGGCGACCUGGUGCACGAUUAGAGCUUGUUUUUUUACCGGCAUUUCGGCACACAGAAGACUCUUCAUCGUUGGGAAACGCAAGUGCUGACCCUUUAAAAAAAUGACCCGCAAACUCGAAGAUCGGAAACGCGGACCAAAUGCUUAGAUCAUACGUUGUAAGCAUUGGUCUUGACUAUGUGUACGCGUGAAAAACGCUACUUUAUCUCCAUCUGGGGUGAAGUUCGAGAUCGAGCAUACGAACUGAAACUCGCAAUACAAAGAAACCAACAUGAGCUAAGAAGUCAUGCCUGGCAGCCCAUAUUCUCCGUCUGUAAUCUCUCCUUUAAAGCAAUUUUUCCCGCGGCAAGUAACAAAAUAGAUUUGAUUGGAACCGGGUUCGUCAUGCUAACUACGGAUUUUUUUUGUCUUUCUUUCUUUCUACGAAUCAUGGCAAGUACCCCAUCUGCUUAUAAGCUAAGUAAAGCAAUAAAUUUCAAAUCCUGACAAAUAUCUAAACUUGGGUGAAUGAAAUAGACGAUGAAACUAAAUGAUCCACACGUUCACUCAAACACACAUUAGGUUUUUUUUUUUUUUUUUGUUUUUUUUUUUGAGAAAAGUAGCGUUCUAUGUGUUUCAUCAACAAGAAGGAUAAAAUUAACACAUCAACGAAGAAAGUAAACCUCUGUCAAAAGGAGAAGAAAAAAAAAUAGUAAUAGUAAAAAUACUAAAAUAUUAAUAGUUUCGUUUGGGCGAUAGAGAAUUCUUCCACAUGGUCAGCCGACCGCUUGAUUUAUCCACUGUUAUUUAGUGGAGUCGCGUUAGCCCCUUUCGGAACGAAUGAUAGCUAUUUUUGCGUUCCAGAUGAACCCACCAAGCAGGCCACAGACCGUCAAUCUAGCUCGAGAUGACGACAGCACUAUGCCACUUGUUCCAUAGUGGAUCUCACAUCAUCCCCGACAAGUCCUCAAUUGACUCCUUCCACUGAUCAUCUAAAUAAAAUCACUAAUCCACGCAUUGCGUAAAUAAGUGGUUCACAGCUCCACUUUGACCCCAAUACAACACAACAAAUUAUAUUUUUCAUCCACCCUCUCAUCUGAAGGAUAGUCUCUAUACGUGUUCUUUGCGAUAAAAGGCUGGCCAUUAGGCUAAUUUAUUUAUAGUGAUAAUCCCUUGGUGGCCAAAUGUAUCUGAGCAAUUAGACUUUCGUGAGAGAGAUAUUCAACCCAAUAUAAUAUAUAUAUAUAUAUAUAUAUUUAGGUGUCGUCCUUGUUACAAUGAAUUUUCUACACCGCAAGAACUAAAUAAAAUAGAGUAGGCUUUAGAAGAAGAGUAAUGGAUUCCUGGGUGCGGGGGGUGGUUGCAAUUAGCUAUCUCAGUAAAAUGAAAGUUUUUCUUUCAAAAGCAGAUUUCUGACCUAAUGACUUGUCCAGCCUCCUUAUGAAAAAAAAAAAAACUAUCUAGUUUUUUUAAAAAUAUUCUUAAUUUAGCCUCAUUUUAUAGAUUCAGGAAAAAAAAUAAAUAACUUGUAGGUAUAUAUGUUACUGGAUGAGAGAUUAUUUUUUCUCUCACUGCCUCCAGUUCCUAAGACCUCUUCUGCAGUCUCUUUCUCUUCUCCCCCAAAACCAUACACCUCAAAUGCAGUCACCUUUAUAUCAUAAAUAAUAGUAAUUAUCUUAUUUUUAUUUUUAUGUUUUGUAUAGUUAUAUUAUUUUUACAUCAUGUUCGGUAGUGUGAGUCCAAAUAAGCUUUUAUAAUCAAAUAUAGUCAUUGGUAUAUCAAUAUCUAAUGUAACGUUCAUUUUAUCUUAUAGUUUUUUAGUAUAAUGUCUAGUCGUAUCAUAUUUUAAUGUGUAUUAAUAUCGAGAUUUUAUAAAGUCAUAUAUCAAUUAAAUAUUAAUAGUAAUAAUAAUAAUAAUAAAAUUUUAGUAAUUAGUAAUUAAUAUAUUUAUUAUUUAUAAAAAAAUUACUUUUUUAUUAUUAUAAUAAAAAAAAUUUAAUAUAAUUAAAUAUUGAAAAGAGAGAAGUGGGGGGAGAGAAGAGCGAAUGUGUGUGUAUACACGUGCAUGUGUUGUUGUGGGAGUGAGGGUGUGUUUGUUUGGGGAGUGAGAGAGAGAGAAAGAGAGUGAGAAGAGGCCUUCGAAUAUGGAGGGGAUGGAUAAAAAAAAUAAUUUCUCACACUAAUUAACAUAUAAAUUUAAUAUAAAAAUUAUAAUGCUAUUUUUUUUUUUUCUAGAUCUAUACAAAUAGGGUUAAGCUUAGAAAUAUUUCUUAAAAAGAGGGCUAGAUAGAAAAAAAAUUUCUAAGGAGCUAAACAGGCAUUAGGCUCGAAAUUCUCAUAACAAAUUUUCUAUUUAAUUAAGUUUCUUAUAAAUGUAAGAACUUCAACUAUAAAGUACCUUGAUCUCUAAGAAUUUAAUGAAUGUCUCUAGGAGGAAUUCAAGUUAAGCUUUACAUUUCGAGCAAUUAUAUAAUAUAGUAUAAUAUUGCUAGGUAUCAACUUAAAAAAGUUUUCUUUUUCCCGUCCUUUAGCAGACGGAAGCUCAGAAAAAAAUGAUAACAAAAUCAAUUAAAGUUAAUUAGGUUGCUUAUGUAAGUAAUAAGAGGUUGUUCGGUGUUUGAUGUAAUUACAAUAUAAUGUAGUUGAGAUGCAAUUGAAAACAGCAGUUGUAACUAUAUGUAUUGGCUGUUUGAUUGGAUGUAAGUAGAAGGUGAUCCACUUAAAUAAUGUUUGAUUAUAUAUAUUUGAGAAAUAAUUUUUAAAAAUUUUUAUCAUUUUAUGUAUAUGCUGUGAGAUUAACGCUUCAGGCCCGUUUGGUUCGAAUAUUAAAUAUUGACAAAGUAUUUUGACUAUAUUCGGCAUAUCUUGAAUUCUAAAUGAGAUUAUACUGAUGUUGCAGUUAGUGUGUUUGGUUGAAAAAAUAAUAGGCAGUAAUAUAUAUCUGGAAUUCAGUAGCUCAUACGGUUUAAUUUUCAAAUGUUCUGGUUCUGUUAUAAAAUUUAGUAAUCUAGAACAAUAAAAUAUAGCCUAUUCCAAAAUUGUCUUUAGUCAAUAUUUAGUAAACUUUUUCUUAUUGUUACAACAUAUUCUUUUACCAAUUUUAUUUUAAAUAAUUUAAUUUUUUAAUUUGAUUUUAAUUUAAAUUUUAAAUUGUAAAUUGCAAUAAAAUAAAUUUAAUAUUUUAAUUUAAAAUAUAAAUAGAAUUUUUAAAUUUAUAAUCUAAAAAUUUAAAUAUAAAUAUAUAUAAAUUAAAUUAAGAUCUAAAAUUAAAAUUCUUUUUGACAAAAAUUUAAAAUACAUAUUUUAUUUUAAAAUUUUAAAUGUAAAGAUUUGAAGUUUAAAAAUUUGAAUUUAAAAUGCUGAGAAGUUUGAAAUUAAUAAAAAGUUUAAAAUUUAAAUAUUUAAAAUUUAAACUUAUAAUUAAAAAUCUAAAAUUUAAUUUAAUUAUAAAUUUAAUUAAAGUGUAAAAAAAUUUUUAUAAAUUAAAAAUUUACAAAAUUUGAAUUUGAAAAUAAAAAAUUAAACAUUGAAGUUGACAUGAUUCAAAAUUUUAACAUUAAAAUUUUUUAAAAAUACCCGGUAUAAAAGAGUUUCCGAGGAGUUAGCAAGGUAAAAAUUGUCAUUUUACAUAAAUAUGUAGUAUUACGUGUCAAUAAUGUAAUAAUACCGACCCUCUCGUUAAUAUUUCGAUGUAUUCCUGCUUGAUUUGUGAUGCCGGCAUAACGAAUAGAUUUACAUAGCGGACUGAAUCAACACAGUAAUCCUGACAGGAUUGCCUGUAUCCCUAUCAGGUAUAACUCGACCAAACGCCACCCGUCAAUAUAAAAAAAUAUAUAUUUUUGUGCUUAAAAAAAUAAUUAAGGGAGAUAAAGCAUAUCUUUUGUUAAAGUUACUCUUUCCAAUUCUACAGUUGAACUGUGGCUGAAUUUGGUAUAGUUCCGAUGCUACGAUUUGGCCUACUAUCUCAAUUCCUACUGGCAAGAAUUGGAGUUAAAUACAUCAAAUUAAACACCGAAUUAUAUUAUACAUCAGUUAGAAUUGAAAUGGAAGUUUAACUAUAUACAACAAACAGUCCUAAAAUGAAGCAAUCUUACUCAAGUAACAGACAUUCAAGUAAUUAAUCCAAUAUAAAUAUUAAUUACGGAAAGAACUCUCCCAUCCUGUUUGUUUAAAAGUGGAUUAGUUUUGAAAACCAAGUUGUUAUGAUUUUUCAAGUCCGAGUAUUGGACUACAUAGUUAAAAUUUUAAAUAAACUACACUUUUAAUUAGUUCCAAACUAUGUAACAUUUUUGAAUACUAAUUAUCAAACAUGUUACUUUAGUUAAAAAUUAAUUACGGACAUAAUUAUCAAUAAUUAGAUAUGUUUCUAAUCACAUAUUGCAAUACAUUAAAGUUUGAAUACCCUAUUACUCAGAGACUUUCAUAUUGGUCCUGUCUGUCCUUUCUUAUUUUUAACAACUAAUAUCAAUGCAAAGAUAUUUUUAAACCACUUAUCAAUAUAAAAGUGUAAAAUUAUACCCUCUAUAUUUGGAGAUGUACCAUUAUGGAUUUUUUUCUAAAUUUUGUAGGUUGACUUAAUAUUAUGACAUGAUGUCGCCAAUUAAAAAUUCCUUUUCACGCCUUUUAAUUCUUUUUUUUGCAGAAGUAAGUAUAUUAUAGAUACAACAAUAUUGACCCUUCACAAUUUGGCCAACAAUUAGAUUCUCAUGACUAUGACAACUUGUUAAUUAGUAUCUUCUUACAGGAAUAUUCUUUUUCAUACAAUAGAUACAAUGAAGAAUUUAAAAAUGUUAAAGGAGAUUAAAUAGUUUGUUUUCAUGAGUGUUCACUCAAUAUUAACAAUUUAUUACUAUUUGAUAACACAAAGCACUAAAUAAUAAGAAUAACUUAAAUCAAAAGAAUCAAACCUGAAAGAAUGUCAAUAAAAAUGAAAAAAGAUAAGUUGAUGAGCUUAUUCUAGCUGAUCUACUGUUGAGGGGGCAACCAAAUUUGGUUGCAAAAACAAUACUAUAUAUAUAUAUAUAUAUAUAUAUAUAUAGAGAGAGAGAGAGAGAGAGAGAGAGAGCUAGGGUUCUAUGUUUCGAAAGUACGGAGACUUACGUGCUUGUAAGUUAUUUUCGAUGAUGGAGCAUCCGAUUCGGCGAUCGGCUCCGUUAGACAUGAUAUACACUAUUGAAACUAUUUAAAAAUCAAAUUUCAUAAUUUUUUGACUUUAUUUGCUUAGUGAACGAGUAAGCUCAAAAUAAACGAUUGAAAAUAAAAAUCUCAAAAAAAAAUAGUGAUAAAAAAUUCAAAUUUCAAAUCGGAAGUAUUGUUCUUGCUCUUAAUAUUAAGUAAAAUUUUUUAUUAAAGUUUCAUGUAAUUUAAAUUUUUCUACACUGUUGAACUUUAAAACAUGACACAUCGGUCAUUAAAAUAGUCAUUUUUUAGACUCUUUGAUCAAUUGGUAAAUGAUAUCAAAAAAUUAUGAAAUUUGAUUUCUAAAUAAUUCUAAUAGCGUAGAUCAUGCCUAACGAAACCGAUCGCCAAGUCGGAUGCUCCAUCAUCAAAAACAACUUACAAGGUCUCUGUACUUUCGAAAAUAUUGGAGACGUACUCUCUCUCUCUCUCUCUCUCUCUCUCUCUCUCUCUAUAUAUAUAUAUAUAUAUAUAUAUAUAUAUUCAUACUUUACUAGAGCAAAUGUUUCAUUCACUGUACAAUAUUAACAUUCUUUCACUACUCUAUCCCAAGCGCUGUGCACUGUGUAACGUUGUUUUCUUAAUUUUGGCAUCCUUUUCUCUUUGCUGGCAUAGAAAAUGCUCCAUCAAAAUAUAAAUAUUUGUUGUUAACACCUCUUCUACCAUGUCAGUGUCGCUGUUUAGAAUUUAUCAUUCAUCUCGUGCUUUCAAUCUAAUCAUUUAACAGAAAAUUUGAAAAAUAAAAGAAAAGAAAUGUAAUUUAUUGGAUGGUGAGAAUUGAAGCGGUCCAUGCAUGGUGCAUUGAGUGUAGGCAACUCGCAGGACAUGCCUUGAAUCUUACGACAUUGAACUCGGUACAACAAUGAGACCACAAAUAUAUGAAGGUUGUUGUAACAACCAUCGCACGGUAAUAAAGAGAUCCAAGAUCUCAGUACAGGAGAUAGCCAAUCUAAUUCCUCAAAGAUGAUUUGUCCAUGAAGAAGGUAAGUGUACAGGGAAUGGUUGGUAGACCAUCUUUCCUUAAAUACCCUAAGAUUAUUACAAAAAAAAAAAGUUUUACGUCCCAGAUGGGAAGGAACUCUAUUACGUACGUACCUAGGAUUAUAGCUAGGGGACUAAUUAGCUUCUUAAUACUUUUCUUAUAAAAAAAGAUUCAAUUUCCUCGGUUGCUAAAGAUGUCCAAAAUACCUGGUAUACCGAUUCCAAUCCGAACCUGAUUAAAAAUAGAUAUUAUAUGGAUAAAAAAAUUUACCUAUUUAAGUUUUGAGUAUGGAUCCGAAUACGUAAUAUCCAUACUUGAAUCAAACCUAAUUCUUUGGUGAAUGGGAUGUGGAAUAGUUUUCAUAUCCCUAUCAGGGCUAAGACCUGGUGAAAUAACUAAACAUCAAAAAAAGCAAAGAGAAAAAUAUAUUUUAAUAGGUAUAUGCGUUUUAUACUUGUAAUAUAUGUUAUGUGACUAAUUGUAUAUAUUUAUGCAAUUAUAUUAUAUGUGUUUAGACUUUCUAAACAUAAUUUUAAUUAUUAUGUUAUUGUAUAUGCUAAGGUGGUGGUCAUAUAGUUUUUCUAUUGUAAAUUUUAUAUUUUUAAUUUGCAUUUAUCAUGUAAUCAAUAUUUAUACUUUUAAGUUGGUAGUCACUAUUUAAAUUCGUUGAUAGAUACAUAGAUUCGAUGGAUGGAACCCAAUCCGAAGAUGGAGGAGUGGGGCAUUUUAUUCUAUUUUAUUUUAUUUGGAGUAUUCAGUCCUCAGUGAAUUUGGUUAAGAAAAUUAUUUUUUUUAAUCGAGUACGCGUGAGAGAUUUAUCCUGUACGAGUGCAUUAGUUCAAUAUUUUAGUGGCACACGAAACAUGGAGGCAAAGUAUGGAUGCGUCAAAUUGCUCGACACUCACUAAUGGCGGAGUAACUCUCAUCACAUGGUGUGACGUACGACCAAAGAGGGCAUCGAAUCGUGUGGGGGACCUUUUGCAGCUAAGUUCAAUAUCCUUUUCAAAGAGUUAGGUUACGCAAAACAUAAAUAUACAACUAUCUGAAUCGCAUCUGCGUUUGUCGACCGUAUCUAAUUAUUCGUGCUGUAACUGUAUCUCCCAUUUGGAACAUUGAAAUCCAAGUUCGAUAUGAACUCUAAAGCUGAGUAAUUAAUUGUUGUUAUACCUGGGAAAUUAGCUCGCUAACAGUGUUUUUCGAAUACAUUGUCAGGUUCUUAUUCUAACUCUAAAAUACGCAGCGAUUUUACAUGCUGUUUAUCUUUUUCUCUUUAUAUAUAUAUAUAUAGAGAGAGAGAGAGAGAGAGAGAGUUUGGCUAUAGUACUUGUAAAAGCAGCAAGCACAUGAUGUAUAUAUAUAUAUAUAUAUAUAGAGAGAGAGAGAGAGAGGCUGGUAUACUAUCGGUAGCACGGAGAUCUCUGUACUACCAAGUUGUUUUCAAUGAUGCGCCUUCCAAAUCGACGAUCAGUUCCGUAGACUUGAUCUACAUUAUUGAAAGUAUUUGGAAACUAAAUUUCAUAAUUUUUCGACAUCAUUUGGCUAAUGAUCAAAAGGUCUCAAAAUUGACAAUUUUAAUGAUAGAUUUGAUGCGUUUGUGAUUUUUAACGGUAUAAAACAAUCCAAAUUUGAUGAAAUUUUUAUAGAAAAUUUUUUUCACUAUUUAGAGUAAGAUCAAUAUCUCUGAUCUUAAAUUCAAGUCUUUUAUCAUCAUCUUUUAUGAAAUUUUUAUUUUCAGCUGUUAAUUUUUAGACUACUUGUUUGAUAGGUAAAUGAUGCCAAAAAAUUAUGAAAUUUAGUUUUCAAAUACUUUCAAUAGUGUAGAUCAAGUCUAACGGAGCCGAUCAUCAAUUUGGAAGCAGCAUCAUUGAAAACAACUUGGUAGCACGGAGGUCUCCGUGCUACCGAUAGUAUACCAGCCUAGCUCUAUAUAUAUAUAUAUAUAUUUAUAUAUAUGAAUUGAGAUAGAAUACUCUCAAAAGCACCAACCCCUUAAUGCUUUUGAGUUUUUAGCCAUUGAAUCUACUCCUUGAUUACUAAUAACUUUUGGAUCAAAUACUAUUCCACCUAUUACCACCUACCACCAUCAUCUCAACCAUGCAUCCUUCCAUUCAAUGACUAAAAAUUCAAAAGCACCAACCCCUUGGUACCUUUGAAAGUAUUCUAGCUCAACUCUCUCUCUCUCUCUCUGUAUAUAUAUAUAUAUAUAUAUAUAUAUUAUGAUAAGAUGCGCCACGGAAUCUUUUUUGCGAUUAAAAUCCCGGGUUUUCUAUAUGAAUAAAUCGAGAAAAAACGCAAUAAUGUGCUACAAUAAUGCGUUUCUAGAGGACCAAUGGGGGAAUAUGGGAAUUCGGUGCAGGUGCUUUUGGCUGGCCCAUUCGUUUGGUAUAAUAACUGGGCACCGGUUUCCACCCUAAAGGCCCCAAAAAACCGGAACCAGUGCCAAGUUGGGGAAGUGAGUUACUGGAAACCGACCAGAUGGAUUCGACUUUUCCGUUAUUUUGACCGAAGUGGGACCUUGGGAGGUAUAUGAACUGCUUGAAUAAGCAAGAGCAAGUAAAAAUCAAUCGAGUCAUAUGUAGAACUUUUAAUGCUUAAGGCGAAGAUAACUAACAACAAAAGGAGAAAAGAAAAAGAGAAGUACUGUAAUAGGGAUCAAAUGUAGUUAUUUGAUUUGUUGAUGCUUCGGUACAAUUUUAUAAGAGCUUUUCGGAUGAAAAAUGUUAGCUGUACGGCCUAAAAAAAGGUGUACAUCAUACAUCCAUUGUCUUAAAGCUUAUAAACUCUUUUAGAUUUGUAAUAGUUUUUUUUUAAAAAAAAAGCUAACAAGAUAGGGAGUAAUUGAAGUGCUCUGAUUAGAAAUGUAAGUUUUUUUUUUAGUGUAUAAAUAAUAUUGUUCUUCUAGGAUACUGUUUGGUCGCUCAUUUAGAUGAGUACGGUGAGUUUCCUGUUCUAGCAAAAUUCUUGGAUGUAUGAAUUUAAAAGUCUAGGUUAAAGCCAUAUGCUCAUGUGAAGAUCAGUACAUCGUAGAUCACUUCAUUUCAAGGUUACAGUUCCGCUCAAAAGUAUGGAAAAUUAUAUGUGAAUGAACUCAAUUAUAGCUCAAGGAGAAUUAAAUCUUUGAGACACUUAUUACGAGCCAAUUAUAAGCCAAACGACCAAAUUAGCUUCAGAAGCAACAGCUCAAUUAAGCUUUUUCUAAAGGAACCAAUUGAGAGGUCCACUUAUUACUAUUCACAAAGCAGCUAUUUCAUAACAACAUAACACUCAAGCAGUUGAAAGGUCAAACCAUGUGGUCAACCGCGUAAGAAUGUUCUACUCUGGGUCAAGAUCAACCAUUUCUGAGGUCUCGGGAAUCAACCAAUUGUUCAGAGUAACCACCUCCAAUAAAAAAUCAAUGUAUUUUCCAUUCAAUUAUAUUAUGUGAUGCCAAUUCUAAAAUAAGACUACCCAAAAAAAAAAACAAAACAAAUGAAAAGCUCGUUUAAUUGGACAUCUAAAGAUCCUGCAAAUUUUACCGCAUAGGAGAGCAUUCAAACCACUUCAUUCUUUUGAAUUUUAUUUUUCCUUUAUUUGGAUAAAAACCCAUCCUCGAAAGAUGAGAGUUUCCUUCGUGCUUUUAUUGCACACCACGUAUUAAAAUUGCACGAGAGAUUCGGAAGUCGCUUCUAGACUAAACAGAAUAUCUCAAAAAAGACAAGAACCCAAAAUAAAAGGCGACAUCAGAAGGAAAAAAAAAAAAAAAAAUCAGCACGAUAAUAAAGGCGAUCCUUAAGAUAAUAAAGGCAAUCCGUUAGCCAUUGAUUGAUCAUUCGGUGUAAAGAUUCUCAGCAGGUAGACACAGUAAUUUUAGAUGUGGGGCGUCUUAUGCCGACGGUUUUUGUAGUCAUGUCAUUCUCAAUUCUCAUCACACAUAAGCAGAGUAUAGGGACAAGCUCAAAGUUUGCUGAACAAUCUUUACAUAAGCAUUGUUGCAACAGUGUAGUCCUGACAAUGCCACUACACAGAAACACUAACAAAGCUCCCCAUAAUUAAUCUAGUCCUAUUGAACAAUCUUUACCGGUAGACAUGCAUAUGAAGCAAAAGACAAUUUCGCAGACAAAGUAUUUACUGUGCAACCAGAAACAAGUAAACUAGCAUAAAAACAGUUGGAAGCUCAUGUAGAUGUGCGGCAUAAAACAUUGAACAUUCAACAGCCUACGAGAGCACUGGUGGGUAUUGUUUGGCCUGCUGCCGAACCCGCCUUUUAUACUCUGCAAUAUCCUGUGGAUUGAUAACAAAUAAGCCCUAAGUCAAUAUUUAAUGACAACCAAGACAUCUACUUGGCCCUGCUUUCAGAACUGAUUCUUUACUAUGAGAAGUAGAAGUAGGCGUUUGGCAAAAGGAGAGAAAAGCUUCUAGGCCCUAUAAACAGAAGCGUAGUUUGAAGGUUCUGCUUUUAGCUGUCUUACUCAGCCAGGACUUAAGAUGAAGCUCCCAUACUAUAACCAGAAGAAAAGGUCAGUUACCAACCUGGAUGAAAAGUUGAUAGCCAUCAGUCUGCGCAGGAUCAGCAGGAUUUGGCUGAUCUAGUAAGUCCUGUAUUCCCACAAGAAUCUGUUUGACCGUAAUGGCCGGCCUCCACCCCUGAUAAAAACAAAAAAGAAGAAAGAUAUUAGCAUCGCCAGCAAUAGGCAUGAAUAUGGAGCCUGUGCAACAGCAUAAUUUAGUUCACUUACACUAUCCUCGUUAAGAAUUGAAAGGCACACUGUUCCAGAAGGGUAGACAUUUGGAUGGAAGAAACCUUGAGGGAACUUGCACUUGGGAGGUUUACUAGGGUAGUCCUCACUGAAAUGGAGGGUAAGGGGAAAAUAACCACCAUCCCAAUCAGUCUGCAGAAUCAAAAGUUGAGUUUUAGUUCUAAAUAACUUAAUUGCACAAGAAAGACAAAAGGUGUGUCUUAAAGUCACAGAACGUAUAAACAGAACUAACUUCAGUGACUAGCAAAAACACAUGUAGAAACGAACAGACCAAAAUGUACAACAAACAAGAAACAAAUACGCAUAAUCGCCUGUAAUAAUUAUUAAGGCAUUAAAUUCACCACGUGACACUAUGUUACAUUUACACUGCUAUAUCAUUCACAAGUAUACACAACUGAAAGAAUGAUUCCUGCUCUCUACUGAAACAUUAGUUGCACAAAUCCAAAUGCUUCAGGAAAAAGAACUUGAAUCAAUAAGUCCAUGCAAACAAUGCACAUCGUAUAUAGAUAAUAAAAAAAUCAAACAGUUGACACAAAAAAAGUUAAUACAGAUAAAGUUCCACAAGUUAAAGAUUCAUAAGUAGCUAUUUAUCGUAGCAAAAACAGAAACACCUAUCAGAUUGUUAACAAUACCUAUUACACUUUAUUAUCGAUAUUGCAUGGAUUAGGCCAACAGUAAAUUGACAAUACGUGACUAUAAGCAGGGGUUAGCAUUCGAAAGAAUACUAUCAGCAAUAGUCAUGAAAUGGAUCCUAAAAAUGAGUGUCAGAAUUAGAAGGGCUGCGUUUGGUUCAGGUAUAAGUAAGAACUGCUUAAUCCAGGGAUAGAUACAAGUUCAGGUAUAAGCAGGAACUAGGCCAAUAUUGCGUUUGAAUGAAAAUUAAGUUGGUUCCUAAGAAUAAGAAAAAUAAUGUUUGGAUGGUUAGAUUGGAACAAAAAAAAUACGAGUUAUAAUUUUAAAUUAAAAUUAUUUUAUAUAAUUAAUUAACAUCAAAAUAUUACAUUAAAAUAAUAAAUUAAUAUUAAUAAUUAUAAACAAUAAAUUAAUAUUAAUNUAUAAAAUAAUAAAUUAAUUAAUUAAUAAUAAAUUAUAAAUAAUUAUAAAUAAUCAAUUAAUUGAUGAAAAAUUAAUUAGAUAAUAAAUUAUAAAUAACAAAUUACUAAUAAUUAUAAAUUAUAAAUUAAUUAAUAAUAAAUAAAUCAAUCAAUCAAUAAUAAAUAAAUAUAAAUAAUAAUUUAUUAAUAAUUAAAAAUUACAAAUUAUUUAAUUAAUAUUAAAUUAAUUAAUUAAAUAAUUAUAAAUAAUAAUAGUGAAAUAAAUAAAUUAAUAGUAAAUUAAAUAAUUAAUUAAUAGUAAAUUAAAUAAUUAGGAAUAAAUUAAUGAUAAAUUAGUUAAUUAUAAAUUAAUAAAUUAAGUAAUUAUUAAUAAGUAUAAAUAAUAAUAAUUUAAUUAAUAAUUAUAAUAAUAAAUUAUUUUAUUAUUUAAGCAUUAAAUAAUAAUUUAAAUAUAUUAAUUUAAUUAAUUAAUUAAUUAACACCAUAAUUAAGAUUAUUUUUAGACUUCAAUUAACCUUAUUCUCACUUGAUAAUAAACUUGUUCCAGGGAAAAAGUGGAACAAUAGUUUUAGCCUUAUACCGGCUUAUUCCAGAAACUCGAGAACUACUAUUCUCGGGUACCAAACGCUGCGUUUGGGAACAAAGGGAAGAACAAGGACUUAUUCCCCCCUUUGUUCCCAAACCAAAUGCUACCAAAAGGAUUCAUAUCGUGGAUCUAUGAUAUCUCUGAGGAUUUACUAAGAAUGAUUUGUCCAGCUAGUAACUACAUAGUUUGUCAAGAAGCCAAAGACCACUAUUUUAUAAUCUUUUUUCUAACCAGGCUAAAUCUGUCACUUCCAAUAGUAAUGUUUUUGAUGAUGUCAAGACCCCCUUCUCCCCUCCCUUUCCCUUUGAAAGUUAUAAAUUGGACCUAUCCUCGUCUGCAGUAAGAGACAUACAAUUAAGAUAUCACAAGCCUCAAAGUCAUAUUAAGAUGGUUUGAUCCAACUUUCAAUUGAUCUCUUAAAGAAAGUACUUGCUUUGAACGGAAACUGCACAAAAAACAUACAUUGUUAAGGUCAAAGAUAAACAUACAUAGGGAAUCAAUGAAUCUCCAUACCCCAUUCAACUUGGCUCAAACUGACAUCGUUAUGACAAUCACUUAUACUUGCAAUUACCAACAUUAUUUCAAAUAGCAAACAGCAAACUUGAAAAGCUCAAUACCCAUAGUUUAAGAAAUUGACCAUAUCAAAAGUCCAAAUCAAGUUUACAAGGUAAAACUGUAAGAAAUAUGUUUCCACCAGGUCUUUGAUUUCAGGUCACAAAUAAGAGAGAAUAACAUGUAUAAAGACCUUUCAUGACUUGCAUUAGUUUCUAUCCAAUUAAAUUUUUGAAGAAAAGGAAAGAAAAUCUUUUAAAGUUUUUCUUUAGUAAUGUUAUUAUUGGGUGACUAAUUUCAGUGAUUGAUGCUUUCUCCCACACUUUGAAUUCCUUCAAAAAGAAAUUGUCAGUUGUUGCAGGACUUAGAGCUGUUGUAGAAAUGCCUAAAUGCUAAGCUAACAUACAUAAAUUAAGAAAACCAAAUAAAAUAAGUUAGAAUCAGCAUAGGUACGUGUAACAUCAUCCACCACACGGUGAAUUUUUAAAAUUUCAUUUCAGGUGCCAAUUCCAUACUUCAAAAGAAUUUCCAUCAGAAAUAAACAAUUCAUCAUCAUAUUCAAAAGAAUGCACCUCAGAAAUGAACAGUUCAUCAUCAUAUCUUACCAGCUAUCAACAAACAAACACAAGCAAGGAGGCCCAUGAUUGCAUUCAACUUCCACUAAUCUAAAGAAAACCCAAAUAUCCAGGACGUACAGCAGCCGUAAUGAGAUAUAAACUAGAAGAGGAGUUAUUUGUCGAGGAAAAAAUUAUACAUGAGAGCCAAAGGACUAAAAACUAACAAUAGCAGUACUGCAAGGACGGUGGGGUACUAUCAGAAAAACCCUCUCUACUGAAAAAAUUAUACUCAAAACUUUUAGACACAUUAGACAUUUCAUAUUUGAUUAUCAAAGACAAUUUCGAUUUUUGAACAAAAUCUCAAACUCAUUUAAGGUGAAUCCUCUUAAACCUGAAAGUUACUUAAAACUAUGGAAAAGAGCAAGAUGGUCUGGAUUUUGAGUACUUAUCUGUAAUGCAUCAAAAACAUACAUAUCAUAGGUUGAUAUACAAAAUAAUUGUAAAUUUCAACCAACUAUUAGUACACCAUAUGCUUAUGCAUAAAAAUUUUAAUAAAUAUCUGCCUCCAUAGAAAUCAAACGAGUCUAAGUUAUGGCGCUAAUAGUUCAAUAAACUUAUAUUUUGGUCCCAAGGUUAUUCAACUUUAAUGAGAAAUAUCAUUGUUUGCAGUAUGAAAAUCAUCAAAUAUGUGAAAUUAAAUUAUCUAUGCUGCAAGGCUUUACACCUUGUUUGUUCCUCUCAUCAAGUUGCACAUGCGAUGUGCCCAAAUGUAACCUUUUUCCCUGCCUCCAUGUAAUACUGACCGGAAUAAACAUAAGUCCGAGCAAUAGCUAUCAAAACAGACUCCAAAAAAUAUGAUUGUAUUCUAUUUAAAGAGAAAGAGGGUUAUAGCAAACUACUCUAUGCAUGGCAUCCUAAAAAUAGAUUUUUCAUUCAUUCUAUGAAUAUCACGUUAAUUAUCUUAACUCAGCAUUUACUUUCUUGCAAAUGAGGAGAUCUCAACGAGACACUCCCCUGUAAUUGUAAUACAAAAUUCUCUUUUUAGCAAACAUGGUCACAAACUCAUACUAAAACAUGUUGCAUAAAGUGGUCCAAUCGUCAGCAUAACAUAUGGCCGGGUCCUCAUAUUGCAUGAAUAAGCAUUAAAAGAUGAGUAUUUAUCCAUUAUAUUUGUUAUUGAAUGAUCGAUACAAUCUAUUCAUAAAUUCCAAGUCAACAACACAUGUACUCUUAAUCAAUGAUUCAAAUCCCUCCAUAUUCCAGAUCCCAUGCAAGGGAUUCCUAAUCAGAACAUCUUUACAGAGGAAAUCCAAAACCCUAGGAAGAACCAAUCGACAACGGAUAACAAAAGCACCUAUCUAGUAAAUUCCGUCGAUUAACAAAACCCUAUAAACAGAGCAUCUUGAUCAACAAAAAGGGAGAACAAAAGAAGAAAUCCACAACUUACCCCUUGCUUACCGGGAAUGGUGCAGUUCCACACCAUGAGAUUCACGGACCCAUCGGCCAACGUCUCCGGCCUCGCCACAAAACCCUAACGAGAUUAACCAAAAAAAACACACAUCAUCAUCAUCGUCAUCUAAUCGCAAGAGGUGAAGGAGGAAUCGGGGGAAAGGGAGGAAGAAGAAGAAGUAGAAGGGGAAAUUUUACAUGGGGGUGAUUCUUGCGCCACGCUUUACGCUCCUCGGCGAGACGACCACGAGCGAUUCCCCCCGACAUUGGAGCUCUCCCCCCUCUGCUUCGCCCUUUCUCCUGCUCCUCCUCCUCCUCCUCCUCCUCCUCCUACGCUCUAUAUAAUGACUUUUGCGAAGUUCACCCCCCAAAGCGAUCUCUUUUUGCGUCGCUAUACGCUUUACAAGAAAGUAACUCUCAUUCUAGAGUUUAAACAAUUCUCUUUAAACUUUUAAUAUAAAAAAUAAUAAAAUUAAUUUGAAAAUAUUGACUAUUUAAUGAGUAGGACACAUAAGACUAUCCAGAUAAUUAGAUUGCGUUGCAUUUAAAAAAAUGAGGCUCUAUGAAACUGACGAGAAAAAAAAAAUAAAAUAAAAUAAAAUUUACACCCACUUUGGAAUGUGCAUGUAGCACUGCUUAUUUGUGAUUAUAACUAAAUCAGUUAAGUAUUUAUUUUUCACAUGUUAAAAUUUAAAAAAGUUAUAAAUAAUUAUUUAUCUGAUUAAUCUGUAAAAUAAAAGUUUUUCUUUUGUUUUGAACAAAAUUUAAAAAUUAUUUCACAAGGAGGGAUUUGGGUUUGGGCUUGGGUCCAUUUUUAUAAGGCUGUAGACAACAGAUCCAGUACCUUACUUAGCGCCCUGGUUCCUAGUAAUUAAGCCCAGAUUGCCAUUUUGGGCCUGCACCCAUGACCUGUGAGUGAAAAAUUGGCUGAAUCAAAGCUUUAGUCCCCAGCCUGGCAGAGUUUUUGUUACCAUUGUAUCUUAUUUUUUAGCUUGAUAUUAUAUUUAUUUUCUAUUUAUUUAAUUUUAUUAUCCUUUUAUACUCUUACACUAUAUAUAUACCAUAUUAGUAAUUAUAGCAAAUAUUUCAUAUACUAAUUUUUUUUUUUCUCCUAACAUCACAUGACUGAUUGAAUAAUUUUAAAUCGAUUCCUUAUGUAGUUAUUAUAUCUCUACAGUGCCAUGUGACAAUUUUUAUCUCAUUGCAAUUGACAAAUAUAUUAUAAAGCCAAACAAUGGGACACAAAUUUCGUGGACAUCCGUGCCCAAAUAUUUGUUUGGGCUAGCGGAUGCGGCCAUGGGCCCCCGCCAUGUGUGUGUGCGGCCCGCCCAUCACCUACCCGCCCUCUCUCCCUUUAUCUCUCUCUCUUUCUAAAAAACGGAGGGCCCUGAUAAUUUUUUUUUUUUUUUUCGGAAAGUGCGAUGACGCCUGCACCACCACGCGGCGCCCAUCGCCACAUCCGUGCCAAGCAAAUAGUUUUGGGCGCCGAUGUCCACGAAAUUUUUAUCCUAAACUAAUGAGUAGCUCCAAAUUUAAUGCAACUGUGCGUAUGUUUAAGCAGCACAGGUAAUUAUUCGUCACGACUAACCUUUUUUAAAGUUAUAUCGAUUUACAGGGAACGCGUAAAUUAGUAAAUAAAUGCAUCCUAUUGUCUCAGAAGAUUUUAUUUUAUUUUUAACAUUUGCCUUUUGCCAUCAGUGGCCAAUUGUCAUAAGCAAAAAAUAAAACAUACUGUAAUAAUUUUAAAAAUAUUAUUUUUUUACAUAUUAUUUAUACAUUGAUAUAUAUGAUGGUGUAAAUAUUUUAGUUGCCACAAUAGCUUAGUUUUAAAAUAUGAAAUGCGCUUACUAAUAUAGUUUAUGAUAACAAGAUUUGGUGUUAGAUAUCUGAGGUCAUAAAUUCAAAUUUUAAUUAUUUCGCAUUUCGAACUAAGUUUGUUUCUAAAAUUAAUAAACGAAAUGAAUAGCACGCUCCUUUCCUCUCUCAAAAAAAAAAAUUUGAUUUUAUCUUUGGAAGUUAUUUACAGUAAAAGAGUAAUGGGUAAUUUAAAAAUUUUGUUACUAGGAAGUUCAAUUAAUCAUCAAUUUUGAUUAACCAUUAUGCAUGAUUUCUUUUUCUUUGUUUUUGUCUCUCUCUACGGUUGCAUCACUUGUUAUCGUUAUGUUACUUUAAAUUUUGGGCAUUUUUAUAAUAUUUAAAAUUUGUUAUUCUCAUCUCAAGACAGAUAGAAAACUUGAUAAAAUUCAGUAACAUAUUUCUAACAGUUCGAAUUUUUUGAAUUAAUGAUUAGCGUUAACGAUCCGAUAUAAAAUAUUUUAUGUCGGAUCGUUAACGCUAAUCAUUAAUUCAAAAAAUUCGAACUGUUAGAAAUAUGCAAUAAAUUCACUUAAAACGUACAGAUACAGGCAUACAGCGCUCAUGGGUUCCGAUUAUGACUCGGCCUAACCAACCUCACGCUAUUUCGAACAUGAGGACUCGGCCCAAUGAGGACUCGGCCCAACAUGGCCUCCCCCCGCACAGGGUAGGAUGCUGGCCUAUUUAAAACCAACAAUCUCCCUCCAGUACCUGGACAUAUUUGCAACACGCGAGAAUCCAACCUGUGAUCUCUAACUCUGAUAUCAUUUGUCGGAUCGUUGACACUAACUAUUAAUCCCAAAAGCUCGAGUUAUCAAAAAUACACAAUAAAUUCACUUAAAACGUACAGAUACAGUGUUCACGGGUCUUGAUUUUUUUUUUUGAGAAGAUUAAAUGUAAAAAAAAGCCCAACUAAAUAAAAUACAUCUAUAUUUUCAUCUAUAUAUAUCUUUAACUAUAUUUUGUUUAUAAUCAACCAAAUAGCUUUUNUAUGUUACUUUAAAUUUUGGGCAUUUUUAUAAUAUUUAAAAUUUGUUAUUCUCAUCUCAAGACAGAUAGAAAACUUGAUAAAAUUCAGUAACAUAUUUGAUUGGAGAGAUUAAUUAAUAUAUAAAAUAUUUUAUAUCGGAUCGUUAACGCUAAUCAUUAAUUCAAAAAAUUCGAACUGUUAGAAAUAUGCAAUAAAUUCACUUAAAAUGUACAGAUACAGACAUACAGCGCUCAUGGGUUCCGAUUAUGACUCGGCCAAACCAACCUCACGCUAUUUCGAACAUGAGGACUCGGCCCAAUAAGGACUCGGCCCAACAUGGCCUCCCGCGCACAGGGUAGGAUGCUGGCCUAUUUAAAGCCAACAAUCUCCCUCCAGUACCUGGACAUAUUUGCAACACGCGAGAAUCCAACCCGUGAUCUCUAACUCUAAUAUCAUUUGUCGGAUCGUUGACACUAACCAUUAAUCCCAAAAGCUCGAGUUAUCAAAAAUACACAAUAAAUUCACUUAAAACGUACAGAUACAGUGUUCACGGGUCUUCAUUUUUUUUUUUUUUGAGAAGAUUAAAUGUAAAAAAAAGCCCAACUAAAUAAAAUACAUCUAUAUUUUCAUCUAUAUAUAUCUUUAACUAUAUUUUGUUUAUAAUCAACCAAAUAGCUUUUAAGUGAAAACUUGCCGCAUUAUUCUUAGGAUUCUUUUGCUACUUAGGACUCUUUAUCUUAAAAAGCUAAAGGCCAAUUUGCAUAAAAAAUCAACAAAUUUUGAGCUUUUGUAAAACUAGACCGCCUUUUUUAAUUUUGUAGAUUCAGUCCGAAUUUUCAGCAAACUGACCAAAAUACGCUUAUUACAUUUUCUCUCUCCUCUUUCUCUCUCCUCUUAUUUUCUCUCAUUUAUUAUUUUUUUUUCUUUCGCUGAAGAAAGCAGCGGAGGCGGAAACGGCCCGCUCGCCUCUUACCCUCCUGCUUUCGCUCUCGCCCUUGCCCUCACCCGCGCACCCCCCUCCUUUCUCGUCUCCUUCUCCCCCUCUCCUCCACCGUCUCUGACGACGACGCCUCUCUUGCCCUUCCCCAUUCUUUUCGUCCUCUUCCUCUCCCUCCUCCUUUGCCGCCUCCGACGAAGACGCAUCUUCGUCGACGCCGACACCAUGGAGGUCGCCGCGACGCUGCAACCUCAGAGCGGGGGGUCCUUAGCAGCGUCAUCGCCGGCGCCAUGGCCGUUGGUAGAGAGGGGUGACCAAAAAAAAUUAUAGAAGAAGAAAAAAAAGAUAAAAAUUAUAGAAAAAGAAAGAUAAAAAUGAUAUUGCAUCGUUAAAAUAAAAUUACACUAUUUUAAAAUAACGUUGCACUAUUAUAGAUAUAAGUUGCACUACUUAAGAUAUAAACUGCAGGUUUAAGAUAAAAAUUACACUUUUUAAAUAAAAAUUACACUCUUUGAAAGAUAUUUAUAUUAUUUUUUUUCUUAUUGUACUCUUUCAGAUAUAAAUUGCAUCCACUAAGAUGAAAAUUACACUCUUUAAAUGAAAGUUGUACUCUUUGAUAGAUAUUUACACUGUUUCUUCUCUUUUUUCAUCUUUUGAGAUGUAAACUGUAUCUUGUUAAGAGAUAUUUAUACUGUUUCUCUUCUUGCUGCACUAUUUUUUUUCUCGUUACACUAUUUCUCCUUUUGUUACACUAUUUCUCAUCUUAAAGAGUGCAGUUUAAUAGAAGAAAUAGUGUAAUAAGAGAAGAAAUAAUACAAUAAGAGGAGAAACAGUAUAAAUAUCUCUUAAAGGGGUGCAUUUUGCAUCUCAAAGAGUGCAAAAAGAAAAAAACAGUAUAAAUAUAUUUCAAAGAGUGCAACUUUCGUUUAAAGAGUAUAACUUUUAUCUUAAUGGAUAUAGUUUAUAACUGAAAGAGUGCAAUAAGAGGAGAAAUAGUGUAAAUAUAUUCCAAAUAGUGUAAUUUUUAUUUAAAGAGUAUAAUUUUUAUAUUAAAGCUGUAGUUUACAUCUUAAAUAGUGCAACUUAUAUCCAUAAUUGUACAACGUUCUUUUAAAAUAGUACAAUUUUAUUUUAACUGUUCAAUUUUAUCUUUAUCUUUCUUUUUCUAUAAUUUCUUAUUUUUAUUUUUUUCUUACUUCUUCUAUAUUUUUUUUUUGUCACCCCUCUCUGCCAACGGACAUGGCGCCGGCGACGACGCUGCUAAGGACCCCCUGCUCCGAGGCUGUAGCGCCGCAGCGACCUCCACGAUAUCGACGUCAGCGUCGGCGAAAAUGCGUCGUCGUCGGAGGCGGCAGAGGAUGAGAGAGAGGGAGAGGACGAAAAGGGUGGGGAAGGAUAAGAGAGGCGUCGUCGUCGGAGACGGUGAGGGAGAGUCGAAGAGAAAAAAAAAAGAAAGAAAAGUCGCUGCGCGGCUUCUAUGGGAUCGGAUGCGAGGAAGGUGGGGGGUGCGCAGGCGAGGGAAAGGGCUAGGGCGAGAGCAUGAGGGUGAGAGGCGGAGCGCUCCGUUUCCGCCUUCGCCUCUGCCUCCCCUGCUUUCUUCGGCGAGAGAAAAAAAAUAAAUGAGAGAGAAGAAAAGGGGAGAGAAAGAGGAGAGAGAAAAAGUAAUAAGGAUAUUUUUAUCAGUUUGCUGAAAAUUCGGACUGAAUCUGCAAAAUAAAAAAAAGGCGGCUCAGUUUGCAAAAGUUCAAAAUUUAUGAAUUUUUUAAACAAAUUGGCCUUCUUUAAUCUAUUUAAUUUUUAAAUAAUAAUUUUAAUUAUGUUUAAUAGAAAAGUUGCAAGCUAUAAAUAAUUGUCGGGCCGGGCUCGAUGGUCCCGACCCGCAGGCCACCUGGUCCGUCCGACAUUCGUAUCUGCGUUGGACUCGACGAAUCAUUCGACUCGAUCUGAAAAACGAUGGGGUCGGUAGCUGGAAUUCAUCAAAACACUUUACAUAACGACUUUAUUAGCUUAGUUAAAGGGCAAGUAGGAACCUAUUCCCAUAUCCAAAAUGGAAAUAUAUUGUAGGACGAUGCAUCAACAGCUGAUGCCCAAAUAAGUGAAAGCAAAAAAAUAAACUAGGCCAACUUGCGCGGGGACCACGCCAGGAGACAAAAGUAGUAAACUCGAAUGAAGUAUCCGUGAACCAGGUUCACCUAUUCAAUCAUAGACCACCCAAUCUCGUAUCUUCUCUUUUCGGGGUUUAGAGGUGAAAUGGUGGAUAGAGUCUAGGCAAGAAUUUGCAGGUAAAACCAAAGCCCGCGGAAUCGUCGGUGGGAUCCGCCAAUGGAUGCCCGGCUUUUCCUACGUACUCCGCGCUCUUCCUUGCGCCUGCACUAAAUUAAUGCUAUUAAAUUGCAGCAAAAUCUAAUUAAUAAAAAAAACUGUAAACCCCAAAUACUAGUAAUUUAGCACCUUUUCACUUAAAUACUUUAUGAUUUAAAAUAUAUCAAUUUAGUAGUAUGUGAUUUUAUUUAUUUCUUUUUAUCAGCUCAUCUGCUAACUUUUCGUUAAAUCAUAUAUAAAAAUUUCAGAUAUCCCACCUAUAGUUUAUCAAAUAUUAACUUUAGUAUCUUUUAAUUUUAACUUUAUCACUUAUUUAACAAAAAAAUUAGUGGAAAGGAAUAACAAAAAGAAAAAAAAUAAAAUUACAGGGUGCGAAAAUAAUAUACUUUAAUUAAAUCACAGGAUACGAAAGUGAAAAAGUGCGAAACCACAUGACUGAUAUUUAAAGUUUUUCCUGAAAAAAAAAGUAAGAGAGGAGAGAUUGUGAGAAAUUAUUUUCUGCACUUUGUGAAUUAGUAUAUGGACUAGAAUACAGAUAUUUUUUUUUGAAUAUAUUACAUAUAUAUUGCACUUAACAACAUGAUUGGAAAAAAAAUGUGUAUUUAACUCACUCUUAAUAAAUUAUAAAUGUUGAGGGCUAGAGUGUUAAAAAAAAAUUUGAUUAAAAUUUUUGAAUUAUAUUUUCGUCUUUCUACUCUAUCAGACAACCUUCACCAUCUGCUUCUCGAUUGCUGUCGCUUUCUCUGCUACCGCAACUAAUGAUACCACAUUUUCAUUCUCCGCGCUACUUUUUUCAUUUUCUAUUUUUUUUAUUCUCUCCCUUACUCCUCCUCUUCUUUUAUUUUUCUCAAUCCUUUUUUACUUCCAUUAUUACCCUCUUCCACCUCUUUUAUCAAUAGAGUAAUUACCAUAAACUUCUUUAUUUUCAUUCUCUCUCCUCUCACUUGUAAUAUAAAAAUUUAAGUAAAAAAAAUAUGUGAAAAGAAAGAAAAAAUGAAAGAAAAUGAGGAUAAAAAAGAAGGGUAUGUUUGGCAUUAAAAUAAUUAAGGUAUUAAUUGAAGUUGAAGGAGAGGCUAACAGAAAGAAAAAAGUACUAAUGGCAUAUGCUUUAAGGGAGUUAAGCACGCAUUUUUUUUUUUUUAUGCAGAGUUAAAAAUAACAUCUGAUUUAUUUAGAGAAUAAUUUGCAUUUUAGCCUAAUAUAUCUUAUAUUACUGGCCAUUAUUAUGAUGCUAUAAUAAAGACUUAAAUUGAGAGAGGCUAGAUCAGCUAUUUAAAGUUAAAAAAAAUGUCAUUUACUUUCAUAUUGUUUUUAAAGAUGAAUCAUCCAAAUCGAUGAUCAAUUACGUUUAACAUGAUCUAAAUUAAGUUUUAAUCUUCUUAAAACAAUCAAAUUUCAUAUCUUUAGACAUUACACACCUAUUAUUCAAGUUGUUCAAGAAAGAAUGAUUUUUAAUGGUUAAAAAAAUUGACUUUUGACAAUAUUUAAUUUAUUGAAAAUACGAUUGUAAAAUUAUGAAAUUUAAUUUACAAAAUUUUUAAAAAAUAGAUUACAUUUAACAGAGCCAAUUGUUGAUUUAGAUGUUUUAUUACCGAAAAAAAAAAUAUAAAUUAUGGAUAUCAUUUGCUUUUACUUCAAUUAAUAAUUUUGAGAUAUUGGCCGUUAUGUAUUAUAUAUGUAUACGGUGCAUCGAAGGUACGUGUGCACCGGGUGCAAGUAAUAAUUUCUCAAACGUGGGAGGUUUUGUAGUGGGAGGCACGUGACUAGGUCGUACCUCGAGAAUCCUAUUGGCGGAGGGACACCGCACUCAGCACUCCGACGCUACGUGGCCGAUUUCUACUGGCAGAUAGUACGGACAUGUACCGAGGAUGCAGACCAGUUCCCAACCCUCGUACGAAGUGGGGCCCGGAGGCUCGGGAUUGGUCGAAAAUCGCCACGUCACCGUCCCGAUUUGAAGCGAAAGGCAAUAAUAACCCCCGCAUCCUCCUAUGCUCACGCAAAAAACUCCUCAAAAAUGUUACCUAGACCUAUUAUCGUACGUCGCACAUCUCACGCGUUUGUUCGAAUUUAGGGGAAGUUAUUAAUAGCGCUGCUGACGUAGCUGACAGGGAGAUGAGUGAUGUCUUUUUUUUGAGCUCCUUUUAUUUAAUUUUAAUUUUAAUUUUUUCUUCUCAUUUAAGGGAAUGGGUUUUUGUAGUUUUUACCGUNAAAAAUGUUACCUAGACCUAUUAUCGUACGUCGCACAUCUCACGCGUUUGUUCGAAUUUAGGGGAAGUUAUUAAUAGCGCUGCUGACGUAGCUGAAAGGGAGAUGAGUGAUGUCCCUUUUUUGAGCUCCUUUUAUUUAAUUUUAAUUUUUAAUUUUUUCUUCUCAUUUAAGGGAAUGGGUUUUUGUAGUUUUUACCGUUUCUUUUUGCCAUUACCACUUUGUUUCGUGCAGUAGACCACUUUUUUUUUUUUUUUUCUCUUCUGUUCCUCAGGUUCUUUUUACUUUACCUAGAAGGGGAUGGCUCCUCUUUUUACCAUCGCCCCGCGUCUUUUAUUUCGUUUGUUUAGUAACAAGGGACGAAUAAGGAAAGGAGUAUUCUUCUUUGUGGUUCCCAGUCGCAUUCCAAAUAAGGGUUUCCCUUCUUUGGACCAAAAAAAUUCCCCAUUCUGCACUCCACCCCUCUUCUCUCCCCGUCUUUUGCCAUUUUUGGUACGAUCUCCUGUUCCGGAUCUCGUUUUCUUCUCCAUCCAUCCGUCCUUUCAAUUAUUUCUAGUUUUGUCUAGCUAGCUCUCCUUUUUGGUUUUCUUUUUUCUCGGUUGUGUGUGUGUAGGGAUUGCUGGAGGUUCGAUUGUUGGGUUGGGGGGAGGAGGAGGGAGCUGAGAGGAUGGUGAGGGGGAAGACGGAGAUAAAGCGGAUAGAGAACGCGACCAGCCGGCAGGUGACCUUCUCGAAGCGGCGCAACGGCCUGCUCAAGAAGGCCUUCGAGCUUUCCGUGCUGUGCGAUGCCGAGGUCGCCCUCAUCGUCUUCUCCCCUCGCGGAAAGCUCUACGAAUUCUCCAGCUCCAGGUUCCAUUCUCUCUCUCUCUCUCUCUCUCUCUCUCUCUCUCUCUCUCUCUCUCUAGAUCUCUUUCAAUUCUUCCAUUUCUUGUGAAUCCUUUUUAGAUUCCAUCGAAAGAUGACAAAACCCCGCGGCGAUCGCUCGCGAACCUCCUCCAUACAAAAUUGAUAUAGGGUUUGGGGACAAAAUCAUCUGCGGGCUGGGCUCUUGAAGCUGUUUCAGAUCAGUACUGAAUUAAUCAUUGAACGGUAUCNAAGACGACAAAACCCCGCGGCGAUCGCUCGCGAACCUCCUCCAUACAAAAUUGAUAUAGGGUUUGGGGACAAAAUCAUCUGCGGGCUGGGCUCUUGAAGCUGUUUCAGAUCAGUACUGAAUUAAUCAUUGAACGGUAUCGAUCGACCGAUCGAUCUUAAUUUCUUUCGCCGUUUCUUGUUCGAUAUCGCCGCCGAUCUUUCUUCGCCGACAAAGUUCUUAGCUCUUUGUCUUUUGCUCUUAAGGAGAUUCUUGAAAUGAUCUUUGAUUUGUCCCCACUUCAUGUUGAUCGAAUCCACCGUUUUGAAUUGUGUUUUCGGUUCGUUUUCACUACAUUUUCUUGCAAAAUAACCAGUAAGGAUCAUCAUCAUAAACAAGAACGGAGGAUUUCGAGCCCUGUUGUUUUACACUUUACUGAUUUUUCUCUAGAAUUGUUCCCAGUACAACUAUAUACAGUGUUCUAGACCCACUGGGUAAGGUUCCCGUAAUAAAAACAAAAGAAAAAAAAAGAAGAAGACUAACUAUUUAUCAUAGCAAAGAAAGAAUAAGAAAGAAAGAAAGAAGGUGCCCAGCUAUUAAAACGAAAAUGGAAAUAGGACUACAAAUGUGAGGUCUCCUCCUGUUUCCUUUUAUAUCUACUUUUAAAGUUUGUACGUAAAUUGUACAUCUUGUACCUUUUGUUUUAUAAUUUUCAAAUUCAUUUUGAUUCAUAGAUUGGUGUGCAUUUUUGCCGGAGUCUUUUUUUGGUCAUCCAGUCACAUACUUCAUUAAUUAAUGUAUAUUAAAAACGUUAUUCGCAAUUUUAAAGCUGAUUUUAGUCUCUAGAUAUAGCUUUAUGUGGAGAAGUUAUAAACCCAAGCAUAUGAUAUUAUGGAAGUUGCUGCAUUGCAUGUAUCAAACAUACUAAUCACUCGAAUCAAGUUAGAUAUUUCUUUCUCAUCGCAUCCAAACAAACAUAUAUAUUUUUAAUCAACCCUAAGUUAAAAGCCGACCGCAUUAGAGCUUCUUGCUUUCAUGUCUUGGGAGCUAGUGUCAUUAAAUGUUUUUGUUUUUGAUGGCGAGCGCAUUUAUUGGCAGGCCUUUUUAGAUGAACUAUAUAUAAAAUAAGUACGGCCGAAAAUUAACUAUCAAUUUUGAUUUGAUAUAUAGAUGUUAUAAUGGGUCCCGUAAAAAAAAUGCUUCAUCUAAACUGAUACUUAACUAAAGAAUGACUGCAGCGAAUAAAGGAAAGUAUGCUGCGUGAAUUGAGAGUAUAGAGUUGCAUUCCAUACCCUAAGUUAAAAGCCGACCACAUUAGAGCUUCUUGCUUUCAUGACUUGGGAGUGUCAUUAAAUUUUUUUGUUUUUGAUGGCGAGCGCAUUUAUUGGCAGGUUCUUUUUAGAUGAACUAUAUAUAAAAUAAGUACGGCUGAGAAUUAACUAUGGAUUUUGAUAUAUAGAUGUUAUAUUGGGUCCCAAAAAAAAAAAUGCUUCAUCUAAACUGAUACUUAAUUAAAGAAUGACUGCAGCGAAUAAAGGAAAGUAUGUUGCGUGAAUUGAGAGUAUAGUAGAGUUGCAUUCUAAAUUAAGUAGGAAGAGUAUGCUAUUUUUUUUUCCUUUUCUUUCAUGUAUUUUGCAUUUGUUGCAGUUUGUAUCAUCACUGUUUAUCACGUUGACAAAUUUUGAUAAACCGUAAACUUCAUACUGUUUGAUGCAAUGCAAUUACUCUUCUGUCUUCCCAAAUUAUUUUGGGCGGUUGAAAAUUUUGUAAUGAAUUUAUCCUCCUUUGUAAGGAUAAAAGGCAAACUUUUCUUCCUUGUGAUAUGUGGCGUGGCGUCUCUUUAACUAAUUCAGGGAAGUCGUACUUGAUGUGCCGUUUAGGUUGUCACCUAUAUUGUUACAUUUGUAGCGUAUCAUCUUUUCUAGUUCUAUUUAACAAGCUUUUUCUGACAAUACGAAUAAGGUCAAUAACUAAGUAGGGUAAUUACCUUCUCAAUUUACAGUCUAGGCUUUUUCAACCAUAGCUGGUUUCUUUGAAAAUUCUUAAAAAUGAUAAUAAUCUAGAGGAGAGAGAGGGAAUGUUGCUGUCAUCAGGAUAACUAUGGUCCUUUGGUGAUUUUCCUAGGACAUAAAAUAAAGUAAGGAAUAAUAAUAAGUUACUGUAGAUGCCUAAGUAGCUAGGCCUAUAACUGGGACAUUUUAUCUUCGUUGUCAAAUGCUUGUGAGCGAGCAAUGGAAAUUCAUGAACUAUUUUUUGUGAUAACUCCAGAAUUUGGAAUAGUCCUAUAUGUAACAUAUAAUAGGGCUUACCUUCUUAACCUGGUAUAUAACGACACGAUCUGCUAGCAAUAAUAACUCGUUGAGCCCAAACCACUGGCCCAAAAAGCUUAAGCCCAGUUAUUAUUCAGACCGUCCAAAUCUAGAUCAUAGACAUAUAGAUCAAAAUUACCAGCAAUGUGAGAUUAUAGAGGUGGCUCCUACGGGUUCAAGAGGUGGCUCCUACGGGUUCAAGAGAUGGCUCCCACUGAACCCGUGGUGUAGCACUUUGCCCCGUAUAACACUUAGCUCUUACACUUCCGGCUGGUAUUUGGCUCUGUACUAAUUGUAACGAUCUGACCCGUUAGCAAUAAUAACUCGUUGGGCCUAAACUAUCGGCCCAAAAUACUUAAGCCCAGUUAUUAUACAAACUGUCCAAAUCUAAAUCACAGACAUAUAGAUAAGAAUAAUUACCAGCAAUGUGAGAUUUUUGAGGUGGCUCAUAUGGGUUCAAGAGGUGGCUCCUAUCAAACCUGUGGUGUAGUACUUUGUCCCGCGUAACACUUAGUUCUCACAUUUCCAGCUGGUAUUCGGCUUUAAUAUUAUUUUUCUAUCACGCCCUAAACCCGAGGCAUANGGUGGCUCAUAUGGGUUCAAGAGGUGGCUCCUAUCAAACCCGUGGUGUAGUACUUUGUCCCGCGUAACACUUAGUUCUCACAUUUCCAGCUGGUAUUCGGCUUUAAUAUUAUUUUUCUAUCACGCCCUAAACCCGAGGCAUAAAAGAUGCUUCAUACCUGCUAGAAUAGCAAAUAUGUAAGGCUACAAAAUCGAAAAAAAUAGAUAGAAAGAUAGUCACAAAAAUUCACUAAAUUAUGCGGUACGGAGAAGAGAACAAAAUAGGCAGAAAUGUCAUUAUGGGAUCUCAAAUAAUUGCAAGGUUGGGAAAGAAUUUUUGUAUGUAAUUGAUGAUACGAUUAUGGGUUUUGUAUUUGCGCAUUUGAGCGUCUCUGUUUUGUAUAUGCACCUUCGGGUGUCUCUGUUCUGUAUAUGCAUCUUCGGGUGCCUCUAUUCUGUAUUUGCACCUACGGGUGUCUCUGACCUCGCCAACAGUUCACUUUAUGUAGUUAAUUGAUGGAUACAUUUUUUUUGAACCCUGUCUAUUUUCAAAAAAAAAGCACUGUCUUAUUUUAUAAUUUUUAUAUCUAAUAUGGAUUUGAAAACUCUGAUAAUUUUUAUUUUUUGAAUUUUUUUGAAAGAAAAAUCAGUCGCUUAAAUUGUAUUUUUGUAUAAAAGUUUUACUUGAGAGCAUUUAGUCUUUUUUUUAUAUAUUUAAUCCGACUAAUGUGGUGUAUGGUUGCUUACCCAGAUUUCGUGACGGUUUUGCUGGGCGGGAGCAGGAUCGAGUGAAUGCUAGUUAUAGUUUGUCAUCGAGAUUUAUUUAUUCCCAUUAUGUUCUCUUCUCUGUUCCGUGUUAUUUAGCGAAUUUUUGUGACUAUCUUCAUGUCUAUUUCUUUGUCGGGUUUUGUAGCCUUAUAUAUUUGCUAUUUUAGCAGGUAUGCGGUAUUUGUUAUGCCUUACGGAUUCUGGGUGUAUUAUGACGACCCGUCCUGCUAGUAAUAAUAACUUGUUAGACUCAAACAAUCGGCCCAAAAUGCUUAAAAGCUCAGUUUUUAUCACUAGCGUGCAAGGCCUCUUAGGAUUCGAUCAGAAUUAUUUUUCCAUCCAAUAUAGGACUAUUGGGGUGGUACAGACUCCCUCUGUUUAGAUUCUGACGUUCUCAUCGGGUCCAAACUCAGAUUAGAGACAUUUAGACUAGAAUUAUCAGGCGAUAUGAUAUUCUAGAGGUGGCUUCUACGAGUUCAAGAGGUGGCUCCCACCUAACCUGUUGGUGUAGCAUUUUGCCCCACAUAGCACUUAGCUCUCACGCUUUCGGCCAAUAUUCGACUCUGAUACUAAUUAUAACGAUCCGAUCUGCUAGCAAUAAUAAUUCGUUGGGCCUAAACCAUCGGCUCAAAAUGCUUAAGCCCAGUUAUUAUACAGACUGUCCAAAUCCAGAUCACAGACAUAUUGAUUAGAAUUACAAGUGAUGUGAGAUUCUAGAGAUUGCUCCUACCAAACUCGUGGUCUAGCACUUUGCCCCGCAUAGUACUUAGCUCUCACAUUUUCGGCUAGUAUUCGACUCGGAUACCAAUUGUAACGACCCGACUCGCUAGCAAUAAUAGCUCGUUGGACCUAAACAACCGGUCCAAAAUGCUUAAUCCCAAUUUUUUAUUACUAGCGUGCAAGGCCUUUUAUAAUCCAAUCAAAAUUAUUUUUUCAUCCGAUAUGGAACUAUUAGGGUGUUACAUAGUAAUUGCAUUUGGGCGGUUACUAGACCCAAAAGGUUAAAAGGUUUAAGCGUGAUACGGAUAUAGUAAUUUUAGGAUGGGCGAUCCCGCUGGAAAGUGAGGUGUCACAGUCAGUAUGAGAGGAGUCUCGAGCCAAAGUCUGAAUAAUAGACUAAGUCAGGAUUGUGAAUGACAAGCUAAACUAAGGUUUAGAUGACAAGACUAACAAGACGAGUUUCAAAUCACCUGGUGCUUGUAAGCGUGUUGGAGUUUGACGAGGACGUCAAGGCUUAAAGGAGGGAGAAAUGUGAUACUUUCAGGAUUUGGAAUAGUCUUAUAUAUAAGAUAUAAUAAGGCUAAACCUCUUAACCCAGUCACAAUAUUUUGGGUGGUGGUUAGGCCCAGAAGGUUAGAAGAAUUAAGUGUGUUAGAGAUAGAGUAGUUCCAAAAUAGAUGUCUCUCUUGAAAAGUGGGGUGUCUUUAGCACGCAUAGCUAUCACUCAAGAGCUUCAAUACAUUUUAAGUGCAUGCUCAUCUUUAUUUUCAUUCUCGUUGAUGCUCUGGUUAACAGAUAGAAGUUAGAUUCACUUAGAUGGACAUUUAAUAUUGAUUUGAUGCUUUUUAUAAAAGUUUUUUUAGUGGUGGCAAUGUAAAUUACAUAACUAAUCAAGGAUUCAAGUGCCGUUGCACGGAAUUGUGCCAGAAACUCGCCGGCAGCACGGUGCGUGCCGGGAGGUGCGGUGCCGAUGCAUGCUGAUCGCAAAAAAUACAUGUGUGCCGAUAUAUAAUGAUAUGAAAUAUUUAUUUUCUUCAACAACAAAAUAUCCUAACUGUUUAUUCUGUAUCUUUAUCAAUUUUUUUGAAUUUUAUUAAGAAAAUUACUUACUAAUUCAAAGAUAUCGUAUCGAUAUCUUGUUGGCAUGAUGGGGCACCGUAAAUAUGACCCGUGUCGAUGGGCACUUAAAUCCUUGCAAUUGAUCUUUUUAGAUUUGAAGAUAAUAAAGUAAGGACAAUAUAGUUGAGAGCUGAAUUUUCGUUGGAUUUCAAUUUUUGGCGGAAGUCAACUUUCUGGUAACUAGAUAUGCCUUAGUGGUAUAGAUUGUGCUAUGUUUAGUGGCAAACCAUCAAGGGAUAAAAGUAGAAAAACUUGAAACAUAAUUUUUGCUUUUUUAAUUUUACUGUGUUCUUUGUGAAGUGCAAUUACAUAUUUUGUCAUGUGAAAUUAUAUUGCAUAAUUAGGAGUUUUAAUUCUACACCCGCAUGUUUGUAGCAAUAAUCAUAUUCUCCUCUUAAAAAUCUUAAAGUAUUAGUGAAUGAAAGUGAUGCCACUGCUGGUGAAAAUUUUAGAGCUCAAGUAUUUUUUUUGGGGAUGCUUUUGAGCUAGUUUUCUCAUUGGCACCCAAAAAAGUACUCUCAAAAUAUUCAGCUGGAUCUUAGACCUUAAAAUGCAUGGCACAAACGUGGCAAAUAUGUGUUAGUACUGCUAGGUCAAUGCAAGAUGAUUUCUCCGAGUUAAUUUGCCUCCACUGAGGCACACAAGAGAUAGGUGAUUGUGAAGUGUAACGAGAGAAAGGAGAUAUAAUUGAAGAGAUCUUGACUUGACUGGUAGGUCAAGAAGUAUAAGUCAGUAAAUUUGAAGGGAAAAAAACUUGAUAGGGUCUCUCUUUGACAAAAUGAAAGAAAUCCAUGUUGUUUUCUUGUUUUGAUAAAUGAAAGCCAUUUUGUCAAGUUCGGAAAGAGAGUUCGGAUUUUUUUUUUUGAGUUAGUCAUAGAUGAUCGGAUAUUCAAGUAGAAUUGUCUAUCGAACUGUGAGCGUUAAAGCACCAUUAUACAAUAUUCUUUAUAAUCAACUUUUUUGUGAAAGUGGUGACAAUCUAGUUUGAGCGUGCAUCAGAUCAUGGAGGAAGUUGAUUAUGUAAUUAAAGUAAAUCAUACAGAUAAAAAUAUGUUUAAAGAAAUGGCUAAAAAUGUGAAACCUUAGUCUCGGAGGUAGAGGUUCAUGGAGUUUGUAUGCUUGUGAAUGUUACUUAUAUGUUCAUUCGAGAUUAUCUAAAAAUGUGGAGAACAUUCAAUGCACUUUAUAUGAAUUUUUUAGCUUCUAUCUUUGUUAAUCGACAAAGAGACAAUGUUAUUAUUAAAUUUUGUUGUAUCUCCUUAGAUCUAGUUAGUCUUAUCAUGGUUAACAUCAAAUAGUGUGAUUUAUUAUUCUUGCUAUCAUGAUCCAGUAGUGUGAUUCUUAUCCUUAGAUCCAGUUAUUCUUAUCAUGGUUAACAUCGAGUAGUGUGAUGUAUUAUUCUUGCUAUCCUUGGAUCCAGUUGUUCUUAUCAUGGUUAACAUCAAGUAAUAUGAUUUAUUAUUCUAGCUCUCAUGACAUCAAGUAAAAGAUGCUUUGGAAGUGGCAUUAAGCAGGUAUCUUUCGUUUAAAGGCAAAGAAGUGAGGUUGCUUUUAUUGAUGUCAAUUAUCGUUGAUCCUUCUGUCCUAACUUGCUGACCUGUGUUAACUUCAAAGUGCUCUAGGAGAUUAUUGAUGGGUCAAUCAUCCUACCACCACCGCUGCACUCGAGCAAGGGCCUUCUGCCUCUUAUUACUGAAGUUCUAGAAUAGACAAACCUUUCUCUCUUUCAUAUACGAGACCUUUUAGGACUCUAAUUAACAUGGCUUUAUCGACUCCUUUGACAUACUAAUACAAAACAUCUAUGCAAUCAAAUACCCACUAUAUAUCUAACUAACUUCACCAUUGCGGAGCUAAAGAUUUUACAAAUGCAGUUUGAUCAUAAUGUGGACAUUAGACUUCCUCAUCAAAUCAUAUUGUGGACAUUGGGUUUUCUUUGGCUUUUCUUAAACCUAAUUGGGUUAGUGUGUUAGUUUAUAUGGUAUAUACCGGACCAUCAGACGAUUAUUGCAGCAUUGUUAGUUAUUUUACACCAUAGAAUCAUCAGAAUCAAGGAGAAACAUUAUUACCCAAUGAAGUCAUAAACCACUAAAUCUAGUUAGCAAUUUUGUCAAAGUCUAGAAGGCCUAUAAUAGCAGCCAGUUUGAAGAUGUCAAAUUGCUUAAUCAAUAGUCUUGAUAGUUAAGACUUCAAAUUAUAUCUAAUGGAAGUGUGACUUUUAAGGAAUUUGAUUAACCAAUUUCUUAGCAUUUGAGAUGUUUCUACUUUCAGUUGGGCUAACAAUUUCUAUUUGUAUUGAAACUUCUUAUUCAAUGAGAAUUAUUUUUUGGGACUAUUUUUACUGAACUCAUAGGAGUAGUUUUUUGCAUUACAUGAGUAUCUUAAGCAAAUAGCGAAGCAAAUGCAUAUAAAAGUAUAUAGUUAAUUGGGUUGUAUGGCUUGAAAUAGUCAUCGAAGCUGUCCAAACCCGCCAAGGUCUUGAUCUGGACCUUAAUCCAUGGUUUGAAUAGCAGAACCCUCUGGAAACUAGGGAGUUUUGAACUAUCUCACUUCCAAAUUCACAAAACUUUAUUUUUGGGCAUAUUAGUGACCUUGAGUAGCUUAAAUCUCUAAGGAGCUUAGAUCCUCUCUCUGCUACUGACUUACAAAUCUAACUUUGUCAAUUCAAGGUUAAAACAGUCCAAAAGAGCAUAAAUUCACUUAGCUUUUUGUGCUACAAUGGCUGCUUGCAAUUGAUCUUCCCACUGGGUGAUCAAAGAACUUGAUAUGCUCCCUGAGGUUGUGUAAAGUAUAAAUAAGAGUUGAGGGCCUACUCAACCUUAUUUUUUAUUCUCUCCUUUCAAACCAGCAGCUUUGCUUCUUUUUUUUUUUGUUUUAUAUUUAUUUUUGCCACAUCCUAAAGCAAUCUCUUGGGAGAUUGUAGCUCUCCACGAGCACUAUUGCAGGGGUCCAAAGCAAUCUCUUGGGAGGUUGUAGCUCUCCACGAACCCUAGUUGGAUAAAAAGUUGUCCUUGCAAUUGCCCUACAAGGUGAAAAACUUAAGCAACGAUAUUUGAGUUUAACUUAUUAUAUAU